rnacentral:lncRNA from 1 species
AAAAAAAAAAAAAAACUAUUGCAUCACCUACUUUUAUUAUGAAAAAUAAAAUACCAUCUGUAUUCGUUUCAAUAAUUUAUGAAAAAAAAAAUUUAAAUCAAAACUAAAAUAAUCAUGCCGUAAGCACGAGUUAUCACUAGUCUAUAUAAUAUUAUAAGGCGGUCUCAUAAACACAGCCGUUAGAUGUCUAUGGAGACAACCAUAACCAUUGGAUGUAUAUUGAAUUAUAUAAUCGAUGUAAUAAGUUGAAAUAAUAGCCUUUAGAUGUUCCAAAAUUCGAUAUUAACCAUUAGUUGUCUAUUGAGACAAUCGUAGCCAUAUGAUUAAGAGUUUUAAUUGCUAACACAUUAAAUUUCAGAAAUAUAACCUAUAGAUUAAUUAAUAAUACUAAUAACCAAUAUUUAUGAGACAUGGAAAACUAAAACCAUUGUAAAUUCAUUUUUGAAAUAAUAAUGAAAAUAUUAAAACCAAUGAAUCUUUGGAUUAAUUAAGGCUCUAGUUUUUCCCAACGGAAAAAAUGUUUUUGCCAAUGAUUAAUUCUUGGUAUUACAUAACUGCCCUUAAUUAGUUUAAUUUAAAAAUUUGACUAUUUAGUAUUCACCAAAUCUUGGAGAAAUCUAUUAAUGUUUUACCCAUAUAAGGAUCAUACAGAAAUUUUGUAAUUAAAUUUUUUAUUUUAAAUUUAUAUUUAUUUAAAAUACUUAAGAAAUAGUUUUUAUAUAAAAGUUUACUAAAUAGAAAAUGAAAAAAGAUUCACUUUCAUUAUUGAUUGGUUUAAUCAAAAUUUUGAUAUGUAAUUGGGAAGAGAAGAAUCAAACAAUUUUAGUGAAUCAAGAGAUUUGAUUUAACAGAUAUUUUGAUUUCAAGAAUCUAAAUUAUAAAAAAUAAAAAGUGGUUUUUGAACAACAAUUACCAUAUUUAUGGUAAAACAAUUGAGGGCAAUUGUGUCAUAUCAAAAAAUUAUUUAUAAUUAAAUUUUUUAUUUUAAAUCUCCAAUUUUGAAUUUAUAUUUAGUUAAAAUAUUUAAAAAAUAAUUUUUGAUGUAAAGGUUUAAUAAAUAGGAAAUGAAAAGAAUUCACUUUCAUUAUUGAUUGGUUUAAUCAAAAUUUUGAUAUGUAAUUGGGAAGAGAAGAAUCAAAUAAGUUUAGUGAAUCAAGAGAUUUGAUUUAACAAAUAUUUUGAUUUUUAAGAAUCUAAAUUCUAAAAAAUAAAAAGUGUUUUUUGAAUAACAAUUGUCAUAUUUAUGGUAAAACAAUUGAGGGCAAUUGUGUCAUAUCAAAAAAUUAUCAUUGGCAAGAUUAAUUUAAUUGAACUCAGUAAAUUGCAAAUGCUUACUUUCAAUGAUAACUAAAUACUCUGAAACUAUUGUUGUAGGUUAUUUGAACUUUCUUGCAAUAAUGGUGUUGACUAGACAAGAUAAAAUCCAACAAUAUCUAGAUGUAGGGUAUAAUGGACCACCGAAGCAGGUUCACGCUUAUUGGAAAUAUACUACCUAUAGAGGGACCGAAAGUACAACGAUUACACCUCCAUCUUAUUGGAAUGAACCGUCUUCUUUUAAAUCCUAAUGAAUCAAGGGAAGCUAUUUUGAAAAGCGCCCGAAAUAAGAAAUCUACUCUAACUGCCUUUUUUUAUUGUUGUGCUGCAGAUGCUUAUGCAAGGGAACUAACAUAUUAAGAGUUCCCUCAACAUUAUGUCUGGAACAAUUAAGGUUCUAAGUGGACAAGAAUGAAACAUAGUUUUGCCAUUGGUAGAAUGUAUUUUGCAAGUCUCAAUUUAAGUGAAAAAUUCUAUUUGCGGUUGUUGGUUACGAUUGUUAAAGGGUCUUGCACUUUUACUGAUCUUAAAAUAUAUGACAAUUAUUUAUUUAAUACGUUUAAAGAAGCAUGUGUUGCAUGUGGUCUGCUUGAGGAUGAUCAAGAAUACGUAGAAUGUUUAGAAGAGAUUACAGUUAUGGAAAUGUCCCACGUUCAAAUUUUCCCUCAAUUGCAGGAAAAUAACACAAGCAUUAAAGCUUAGGAUUGCAUAAGGAGCGCAUGAGAUCCAAUUCUCUACUGGGUACAUUAUGACACUAUUUUUCAUGCCUCCUAUAAUGGUUGGUAGUGAGACCACUGCCAAACUCUUAGUCAUAAAAAUUGGUUAGUUGUGAAUGCAGUUGGAGUUGUUUUAUAUUAUGUCUUAGUAAUGUCAUUCACAUCUAUGUCUACUGUUUUGGUAAAUAAAUACUCAAUAUAUUUCAAUUAAUCAAGGGAAAGAUACUAUUGCUACAAAAAUUUCCAAUUACUCUACCUGGUAGUAGUUUUUCAUGUUUUGUACUGUAAUAAUUCAAAUAAUGGGUCUUGGGAGAGAAAAUGGCAACUGUAAUAUCAACUACAAUAAACACAAAAGUAAAUUAGUUGGAUGCAAUAAAUAAAAAAUAUUAAGUUAAAAUUUAAAAUAAGUAUUUAAUAAAAAUUAUAGAAAACAAAUAUAAAUAAAAUUUAAAAUAAUCGUGUCGUAGGCACGAGUUAUAACUAGUGUGUAUAUAUAUAUAUAUAUCAAAACAGAUACACACCUAGUGUCAAAGUGUAUUGUGUCAAAGUAGAAUUUUUGGUAUUUUUUAUUUAAUUUUGAUUGAUAUUUAUAUAUUUUUAAUCUUCUUUAUAAAUAUUUUCUAGUCAUCUCUUAUGUCGUUCAAAAUGGAAGAUCUAUACGAUGGCCUAUUAAAACUACAAUUGGUUUUAAAUUUUAAUAUCGAAGUUCAUGUCUAGAAUUAUCACAGUUUUUUUAGGUAGGACAUGAUCAAAUUUUAAAUAAAAUUACAUUCAUAAAUACUAAAUUAUUUUAACCAAAAUCCUUUUUAAGUGAUAAUAUAUUAAUUACUAAUGCAAUAAUGAAAGAGUUGUAUUAUAACUCAUUUUAUAAAGGAUGUAGCCUCCAUUUCCCUAGUUGUUCCCUAGUACAUUGAACCCUUUAUCAAAUAUACAAAUUUUAAGAAAACAAGUUUUUUCUUCUAGUUAAGGUAAAAUAAUACAACCAGACCAUCCAAAUAUUCACCUAACUUAUGAAGUAUUAACCCAAUGGAAUGGUAACAUCAGCGGUAAACUGUAAACUUCAAUGACCCUAGUGAACAGAGUAGCAACAAUCCAUAUUAGUCCACCUCCAGGUGUACUCUUUCAGGAUCCAAAUCCUUUUAAAUCCACCUUAAAAAUACAUAAUAUUAGAGAAUGAUAGAUGUAAGUUGAAGCUAGUUGAAGUAACUCAACAUGAUAGGAAGGAAGCCAAAUAACGUAGUAGAGAUGAUACAAUCCCUUCACAGAUCUUACUAAUUCAAAGAAUAACAGCUCCGUGCCCCUAAUAAAAGCAUAUUGGUUUGAUGCUAAAGAUUUCAGUAUACAAUACCCUCUGUUUAGUCUAAUUGUAGUACUUGGAGGGACAUCCAACAUGAGCUUCAUGUGACAACAAUCCAACCACAGAACAAACAUUGUUUAAAGGCCAAUGAAUCUAUCAUCCAUAGAUGUAGGGGGACUAUAUACUCCAACCAAUAAAAAGCAGCCACGUGGCAUAGUCGUUAAUCCGUCAGGUCGCUACGAUCUCAACUUACUAGUAGCUCGACCACAACGACCCGACUACAUAAUCAGCAGCGGUCUACGCACGUGCCCUAAUUCGGCGCCCAAGAUACUCUCUCCAGCCGUUGUCCAAUUACUACAACCGUUACACAAUCGCUGGAGAAUAUCACAUCAUCAUAAAUAUGUCGGAGAAUCUGCAGGAUCCCACGAUCUUCGCCUCUUCACCUUCUAUAUAAACAGAACUACGAUGGCUUGAUCUCUAAGUUCAAUCCCCACGAACUAGAGUACGUAGGCAAUCUCAAUCUCAACGAGGUGCAGCCACUUCGAUCUAAAGCUCCCCCCAUUGGUCAAGUCUGCUAACGACCUGACCUAGUAAAUGCAUUGAUCUAGAAAUAGGUCAAUACAUUUGGCGCCGACUGUAAGGAAUUCGAUUAUAUCGAAAAACCCAAACCCUCCCACCCAACUCAAAGUCAUUCAUUCAAAUGGCUACCCAUGAAUUAACCAUCCAAGAUCUGCAAGACCAAAUCAAUCGUCUUCAGGCAGAAAACGCACAGUUAAAGGCUGCACAAACUACCAACCCAGCACCAGUAGCAAAUGGUGGACAUGGAGUCGUUGCUGUUGAUGACUCCAAUAGAAAGUAUGAAGAACUCAGCCAACAACUAGCAGAGUUCAAAGCCUCUCAGGCCAUCAUUCAACUUCGCAAAGGCCAUACCGCAGAACAACUUGCUGUCCAGUCCCUUCAGCAAUUUCAGGAGUCUCCCUUCUCCAAGGAGAUCCUCGACCAUGAAUUGCCUAACAAACUCAACGCCCCCAAAUUCGACCAAUAUGCAGGAGUUGGAGAUCCAACUGACCAUAUCAAAGGAUUUCGCAAAUCCCUUCCUCUUAUCAAAGAGGAUCACUUACUAUGUUUAUUGUUCCAGUCCAGCCUCAACGGACCUGCUCUCGAUUGGUUUCACCGUUUGAAGCCAGGAUCCAUCAGCUCGUUUUCAGAUCUCGAAAGACAGUUCGUUAUCUUCUAUAUCCACAACAAGAAGCGUCCUGUCACCAUCGAUUCCAUCUUCAAAGUCAAGCAGCGGGAUGGCGAAUCAUUGAGCAAUUUCUUUGCUCGGUUCAAAUCUGAACUGCAUUCCAUCCAAGAUUUUGCAAAGGAGCAUGAAACCUUUGCAACAAUCGCAUUCUCUCACGGUCUGAUCCAGGGAUCCGACCUGCACAAAUCUCUAGCUAUGAAGCGACCUUCAUCUCUGGACGAGCUAUACCUUAAGGUAGAUCGUUACAUCAAGCUCGAAGAAGCCCUAACUGGUAGGGAAAAGAAUCAUGUCAUCAGCAACGUGGAAUCUGGCUCCACCAAACGACCUCGAUCAGACAACAAGAGGUUCAAAGCAAAGUCGUUGCCUACUGAGCAACGAGAUUACCACCGAUUCACACGACCAGCCGGUUAUAUCUAUGAAAGAAUCAAGCACAACCAUUGGUGCAAGAUUCCUACCUUCACUCAGUUGGAGGAUACAUCUGGACGACCGUACUGCAAAGUUCACAAGGUGCGGUGUCAUCAAACUGAUGACUGUCGCGUUUUGAAACGCGCUCUUCAGACUUGGGCCGAUGAAAAAAGGCUCAACAAUUGGAUCCUUGGAAGGCAGGAGGAUACCAAUGGCAAACGAGCCAAGAAAAGUUCUAGAUCGCCUCCGCAUUCACCAAGGCGACAUCACAGCAAGGCCAGAACGGCCUCCUCAAGUCCAGUCCGCAGCAGAGGGCGUAGCCUCUCCCAGCGUUUAGGUCCAACAGGCGACCUACGCGACCAACUUAACAAAAAGGUCACGAACAAGAUUGAUAGUGACAGCGAGUCAGAGAGUCAUGUAGUAUACAUGAUUUCUGAAUCCAACUCCACCCCUGUGUCCAUAGACAAGAAGAGACGAGUAGAGCAUCUUCAUCAUGUCUACUCCAUUACUGGCCGAGCAGCUCGCUUCAACAUCCCGGCUCGCCAGGAAACUGACAUUACCUUCACUGAGGACGAUCUCAACAAGGUCGUUACCCCUCACAAUGACGCACUUGUCGUUGAAGUGAGAAUAGCCGAUUACAUCAUCAAGAGGGUACUCAUCGACCCUGGUGCAUCCUGCAACAUACUCAUGUACAGAACCUUCAAAGACAUGAGGUUACCUGAUUCAGUCCUUAUCCCCGAUUUCACCCCCAUCCUAGGCUUCAACAGUUCAAGGGAAGAUCCUAAGGGUGAAAUACUGUUGCCCGUCACUGUAGGGCGAAAAGAAGACAAGGUCGUUGUGACCGCCAAGUUCAGCAUCCUCAACAUCGCAAGUAAGUACAAUGCGAUUCUAGGUCGAAAAUGGAUCCAUGCCAUGAGAGGUGUUCCAUCCACAUAUCAUCAAGUUUUCCGCUAUCCCGGACCUCAUGGGAUAAUGGAACUUGGGGGCAACCAGAACGCUGCACAAGAAUGUCAUGUAAUUCUUGAAGCUGUGGCGCCUGCAAAGCCAUCCACCUCUGGAACCAAGGAUGCUGAAGGGGAAGAGCCCGAUCUCAUCAGAAGCUCAAGAGGGCGACAACAAAUCAAAGAGCCCAUCGAAAGAAAAAACCGAAGCCACUAAAUAGCAACUACAGAAGGAGCAAAUGAGCUCCCCCAAUCUUAAUCUCGGAAGCACUGAUCCAGGAGUACGUGUGAACUUAGGGUCAGAAGACGAGCCGAGAUAUGUCUAUGUAGGUGCAGAAUUAGAGGGAGAUAAGUACAACAACUUUGUAAACUUCCUUUCUUCUAAUAAAGAUGUUUUUGCUUGGUCGUAUAUCGAUAUGCCUGGAAUAGACCCAUCAAUUGCAUGUCAUAAACUACGCGUCAAUCCAAAUUAUCGUCCUGUUAAGCAAAAACCAAGGAGGCUCGCUCCCAAGUUUCACCAAGCUGUAAACAAAGAGAUCAACAGACUCAAACAGGUCGGGUUCAUCAAGGAAGUCGACACGCCAGAUUGGCUAGCCAACAUUGUGCCAGUCUUAAAGAAAAACGGGAAAACAAGAGUCUGCAUUGACUUCACAAGCUUGAACAAAGCUUGUCCUAAAGAUUCAUUCCCACUGCCACGAAUCGAUAGGUUAGUCGAUCAGACAUGUGGUUUCGAGCUAUUGUCAUUCAUGGACGCAUACUCAGGCUACAACCAGAUUCCAAUGUACGAGCCCGACCAAGAGAAGACCUCUUUCACAACAGAGAAAGGAAUUUUUUGUUACAAGGUCAUGCCAUUUGGCUUAAGGAAUGCAGGAGCGACCUACCAACGACUAGUUACUAGAAUGUUCGACGAUCUGCUAGGUCGAACGAUGGAGGUCUACAUCGACGAUAUGCUAGUCAAGAGCAACCAAGAGCAAGAUCAUCUAUCCAAUCUCGACCAGGCAUUCCAAAGGUUAAGACAAUAUAGAAUGCGUCUCAACCCAGAGAAAUGCCUGUUCGGGGUUGCAUCAGGAAAAUUUCUCGGCUAUCUAGUUACAAGACGAGGAAUUGAAGCAAAUACCGACCAGAUCAGAGCCCUGAUCGACAUGCCCAGCCCAAAAACAAAGAAGCAGAUCCAAAAACUCAACGCCAUGGUAUCAGCUCUCAAUAGAUUCAUUUCUAGAGCAUCAGAUAAAUGUCGACCAAUGCUUCAUAUUCUCAAAAAGGGGGCUUCAUAUCAAUGGACAGAAGAAUGUGAGAAGGCCUUCACCGACCUCAAGGCAUAUUUAUCUACUCCACCAGUUCUCACCAAGCCUAAUGAUGGAGACAUACUCGGCGUCUACCUCGCAACGUCAGAUUUUGCGAUCAGCGCAGUGCUUUUCAAGGAGGAAAAUCAGGUCGAACGCCCAAUUUACUUCACAAGCAAAGUAUUGCAGCAGGCCGAAAUAAGGUACACACCUCUAGAGAAAUUAGCAUUAGCUCUCCUUUAUGCUGCAUGCAAAUUCAGACCUUAUUUCCAAGCCCACACUGUCAAAGUAAUCACCGACCAGCCGUUACGCCAUAUAUUAGAAAAGAAGAACAAAACAGGUCGUGUGGCUCGAUGGGCAGCCGAACUGGGUGAUUACACAUUUAAGUUCGUCUCUCGACAGGCCGUCAAAGGCCAGGUCGUCGCAGAUUUCUUAGCAGACUAUCCAGCAGAGGAUAUCAAUUGGAAACCAGAACCAGAAACAAAGAAAGUCCAGGACAGUCCUCCCGACACUUGGCAACUAUAUGUUGAUGGUUCACAUAACUCAAACGGAAGUGGCAUUGGUGUUGUACUCAUUUCACCUGAGGGUUCACAGCUCGAGAGAGCAACUCGUCUCGACUUCUCGACCUCCAACAAUGAGGCCGAAUACGAAGCACUAGUCCAGGGCAUACAAAUGGCUAUCGACUUACAAGCAGUUCGCCUCAAGGUAUUCAGUGAUUCUCAACUGGUAGUCAAUCAGAUCACCAAUAAUUACCAGAUCAAUGGUGUCAACUUAAUCAGAUAUGCUAACAAAGCAAAGGAACUCAUCAGCAAACUCAGUUAUUUCACAAUCGAUCACAUCCCUAGAGAUGACAACAGACAUGCUGAUUCAUUGGCGUUCUUAGCAUCUAAGAUCGAGUCAGAUCAACCGCGAGCUCUAACUAUAGCAAUCAGUACACAGCCUGCAUAUCUACUCAAAGAAGAAAAUGUUCACCAAAUCUGCGAUCUACUAGCCACAACACCAGCAGACAUCCAAGGGACUUGGAUGGAACCUUUCAUCACUUAUCUUCAGACUAGUGUGUUACCAUCCAACAAAAAGGAAGCUAGUCAGUUAUUACAUAAAGUCACUAUGUAUAAACUUCAUGAGGGUAAGCUAUUCAGAAAAUCUGCAACUGGUCUGUUAUUACGGUGCUUGAUCCCCAAGCAUGGGAAAAUCAUCUUCCAAGAAAUCCAUGAAGGAGAAUGCGGAAACCACUCCAGAGGUCGAACAUUAGGAUAAAACUUUCGUAGUAGAUAGUUUUUAUUGUGGAUAGUCUUUGUCAUGUAUUUGUGUUGAAAUGUAAAGAAUGCCAACGUUUUGUUGAUAACCAACAUCAGCAUCCCAACGAUCUCAUCAACAUCACAACACCAUGGCCAUUUCACAUGUGGGGGCUCGAUAUCAUGGGCCCUUUAAUCAAAGAAAAGAAAUCUGAAAAGAGAUUUGUUCUAGUCGCCAUUGACUACUUCACCAAAUGGGUAGAAGCCGUUGCACUCGCCAACAUCACUCAAGCCGAUGUUCAAAGAUUCAUGUGGGAAAACAUUAUCACACAAUUUGGUUUACCAAAACGAAUAGUCACCGAUAAUGGCACUCAGUUCGUCGGCAAAAACAUCAAGGCUUUCUACGAACUAUGGAAAAUUGAUCAUUCUAGGUCAACACCUAGAUAUCCACAGUCCAACGGCCAAGUCGAAGCUGUAAAUCGACAAAUCCUGAACAACUUAAAGAAAAAGCUUGAGGAUCAACACGAUCAAUGGCCACAACAGCUAGAAAACAUCCUGUGGGCUUACAGAACAACUCCUCGUACAUCCACAGGGAUGUCACCAUUUAGUCUUUGCUAUGGAGUUGAGGCCGUUAUUCCCACCGAGUUAACAUUUGGCACGACCAAAUCCCUUCUGGUGGACUCAGAACUUAACAAUCAGGUCUGGUCGUUUGGAAUAGAUCUCCUCGAAGAACGACGAAACCACGCCGUUAUAAAACUCGAGCAAUAUCAGCAACGACUCAAGCGAGCUUAUAACAAAGGCGUACGUCCUAGAAAUUUUCAACCGGGAGAACUAGUUCUAAAAAAAAUGUUCCACAACAAAAGGAAGGAUACUAUAGGCAAACUCAAUGCCAAUUGGGAAGGCCCUUACAUUAUCACCAAAGUUCAAAGCAACGGUUCUUAUCGUCUUCAAACACCAGAAGGGGAGAUCGUUAAGAACCCAUGGAAUGCUUAUCACUUGAAGAAGUUUUAUCAAUGAAAUGUAAGCAUCUAUCUAUUACAUUUCAAUAUACAAACUCAUUUCUGCCUUCAUCUCAGCUCAAACAUGAAUGGCUCUUAAAGGUCUAAUCCAAUCCCUCGACCUACAAAUUAUCAAAACUCUAGUCCCUUUGAUAAUUUUAAUUUUGUUAAGUUCAAACAUUUACAACUUAACCUGGUGCAUUGGUCAUAUCAUUCCCACGACCCAUGUACAACCCAGCUAGUAUGCAUACGACCUCAUCCAUCAGCAGGUCCAGCACUAUGAUUAUUACUUAUUGUUUGCAAAACCCAUACAAGCAGACAACGUAACAAGAAUGAGAAUGCAAGGUAAAUAAGUGAAAUUUCUUUUUACUUCAUGAAAUUCUAACCAUUACAGGUAAAACAAUCUACAAGUAACAUUAAACUAAGGCAUACAAGAAGAACUGUUUUAGUUCGUCCUGCUUGCAGCCAUUCAUCUCGUCUACCUGCCUUCUGAACAAGCUACCAGGACUCCCUGGAAACUAGCUGAUCAGAAUGACUUAGCUACAAGCUCAUCAAAAAGCUGCUUUGAGGAAUGCGUACAAAAACAAGAAGCUUUCGCACCAUCAGGAAACGCCUCACCGAACACCAGGCAUCAUUGAAGACAGAAAGGGAGAAGAAGAAAGAGAUGUACUUUUCCAUGAGCAGGCAACCAUCAAAAUGCAAGCAAGAAGACCUGAUGGGAAUCCAGGACUCCCCAAAGACCGAGACGAGCUCACUGCUGCAUAGGCUGAUCGCUAGGUUCAUCCACCUCCAUCCGGCCACUUACGACCUCAACAUUAGGGCCCGUCAAGGUGUCCUGAGCUGGUACUAAAGCUUCUCCAGCACCACCUCGCGUCUCCUCUCCUUCGGGCGACCCCAUUAAAGCUUUCUCCAGAUUGUCGCAAUAGGCCUUCCAAGCUGCGCCAUUCUCAUGACAUGUGCGCUCCCAGUGGGCAGCAGACGACCUAGCAGCAGCAAGGUCUCCCCUUACCUGUUCCAACAUCUCCUUCAGCAUCACGUUCUCCGCCUCCUUAUCCUUGAACUUGCACUUGGCAACAACAGCAACAUUCUUCGCCUGCUCGAGAUUCUCAUUAAGAUGCUUCAAGUCAAUCUCAGCUCGAGCUCCAACCUCAGCGACCAGACGAACCUCCUGGAAGCUGGCCUUGAGCUACACAUACAAACAUCGUUUAGACAACAACAACUCAGUACAGACAAAGAAAGAGAAAUUAACAACCCCACUCACCAAAGACAUAGCUGCGUUUAUCUUCGAGCAAGUGACCAGCAAAGUUUAAGACUUCACUGCUCGAGCAUCAGCAUCCAAGACGAUGCCCUCAUUUACAGCUCGGGCAACGCAGGGAUCGUCAAUUGCACUGUCGUUCUCAUACACGACAUGCUUUUCACCACGGCCAUCCAAGUAAUCGAACGGCCCAGGGCGAAAUUCAGACAAUACCCCCUUGCCUUUAUGCAAAGGACGAGCAGCAGUCUUCCUGGACACCAGGGAAGGCUCAGGAGAUCUCACGGACUUCGGAGGAGGGGAGGUAGGCAGAGUUGGACGCUCCAUCAGCUUUAGGUUCCCAGAGAACGACCUCUUCUUCCCCGACCCGACAGGUAGUUUGGGAAGUGAGGUCGGAGGGGAUACGAUUUGGGGGCUCGCUCCUAUCUCCCCCUGGCGCGAGCUAACACCAGAUCGUUCCUUCUCCGUCCGGUGGGAACCAACACUAGCUCGCUCUUUUUCGUCAUGUCGCGAGCUACCACUAGCCCGCUCCUUCUCCCCAGGGCACGAACUGCCACCAGAUCGUCCUGCCUCAGCCCUAUGUACAGACGACAUAAAGGUCUUCUUCAGUGACUUCCUCCUCUCCAGUUCCUCUUCAACUGUUUUCGGACCACUUUUGGGAAUAAAAUGCUCCCUCAGGUGGGGUAAGAACUGUAUCUUCUGACUAUCAGCCCACAAACCGAAGACGUUCAGAGCAGACUUCAGAUCGUUCUUUCUCAACGAAUGAUCGUCCCUGAUCGCUGCAAAUACAAUACAAAGUCAGCAAGUUCGGAAGUAAGAAAGUCAUCUACAAUCCUAAGACUAACAACCAGAAACUUACGAGUAUCAUUCCUAGUCACAUGACGCAACUGGAUACUCCCUUCAGUAAUCGACCCAGUAAUCAGCAUGGGAUCCUUCCACCAUUGCUCACUACUCACCGGAUAGAUCAAAGGCAGACGUUCUGGCCUAACUUGCAUAUUAUAACCCGCAAACUCGGCCUUCGAAGAACGUUUAAAACUAAAGUGGUCCAAUACAUUAUUUAUAGUGAUGUUCCACUUAUGCAACUUGUUGAGGUCAUCAAUUACCCUCAUGUUUCUCCAGAAAUUGCCAUUCAUCUGGCAAGGAGCUCGACCGAUAGCAUUCAACAGGUCGACAACCAAACAAGAUAAAGGCAAGUUCAGCCCAGCUCGGAAUCGCAUCAUGGUAAACACAGUGGAGAAAGGGUUCUUAGGUCGAUACUCCGCUGAAAGUAAACGAUCUCCUAAAAACCUAAUCUCCAAAUGCUCAAUCGAACUAAGCCCAUACUGCUUCCUAAAUGCAAUAUGCCUAUGGACAUACUUCGGAUUCACUACUCUACAGAAGGAACCUUCGUCUCCUUCCACCAUUUCAUCAUCAGAUGUGUCCUCCCCAUGAGAACCACUACUCUGGGGGCUUUCAGGAUCUACAUCUCCUUCACCCCGACUAGGAGACGCAGUCUCAGAAUGAGUCCUUUCAGACUCAUACUCCUCACCACCAUCACCACUCAAGUUCUCAUUCUGAGAGUCACUUGCCUCAGACAUCUCUUUCAAGCAAAAGAAAAGAAAACAAAAGAAUGCAAAGAGAAAGAAAAAUUCAAGAAACAAAGAAACAGAAGCAACUAACCUCACGAGCUCUCAAAGAUCUUCAGAUCCCAAGAGAAAGCGGCAGCAAUUCAACAAAGAAAACGAGAUAGGUAAACCCUUCUCAAGCAAGCCACAGUUUAAAUACUGUAGCACAUGUAAUCCCAGCCAUCGGUUCGAAACAGAUAAACGGCCGAGAUCGAGCAAGGGAGCCACGUUCCUUGCAGUUAUUUUCCAUUCACUAAAUGAUUCACAUCCACCGUCGGAUCAAUCCACGUGCAACGCAAAGACCUAAUCAAGCAAGAAGUGCGUCAGUUGCCAUAACUACACGACUAACUGCUCGAGGAAACUACUCCACUUCCCCGUAAGAGCGCCAUGAUUAUUACAGACAAGCCUGCAUGACUGCCACGUCCACAAAUUCAAAAAGCAAACUUCAAAUCAACAUCGAUCAGAGUUCUUAGUCUUUUCAGCCCGACUUCUACAGCCGACCUAAAAAGAGGGGGCUUAUGUAGGGGGACUAUAUACUCCAACCAAUAAAAAGCAGCCAUGUGGCAUAGUCGUUAAUCCGUCAGGUCGCUACGAUCUCAACUUACUAGUAGCUCGACCACAACGACCCGACUACAUAAUCAGCAGCGGUCUACGCACGUGCCCUAAUUCGGCGCCCAAGAUACUCUCUCCAGCCGUUGUCCAAUUACUACAACCGUUACACAAUCGCUGGAGAAUAUCACAUCAUCAUAAAUAUGUCGGAGAAUCUGCAGGAUCCCACGAUCUUCGCCUCUUCACCUUCUAUAUAAACAGAACUACGAUGGCUUGAUCUCUAAGUUCAAUCCCCACGAACUAGAGUACGUAGGCAAUCUCAAUCUCAACGAGGUGCAGCCACUUCGAUCUAAAGCUCCCCCCAUUGGUCAAGUCUGCUAACGACCUGACCUAGUAAAUGCAUUGAUCUAGAAAUAGGUCAAUACAAUAGAUAUGCUUUAGACAUGUAAAUUACUAGAAAAGAUAAUAAACAAACUCGGAAUUAAGCCAAUGUAUCAUCAAGAGUCUUUUGUUUUUACAUAAUCGGCAGAAGGUUCAUGUGUUCUUUUGUCAAAUGAUUUUUAUUAGCAGUCCAUUUUUUUAGGUUUCUCUAUUCAAUAUUACAAAAAAGAAAAAAGAAAAAAAAAUUGAAAAUAGUUUUACUAAUGCAAAACCAAGAGACAUGAAAUAAGCAUCAUAUUAUACAAGCAAAUGAAUUCCACAAUUGUUUUAUAUGAAACAUGUUAAAAUCUUCGGAAGUAGAAUACAAUAGGCAGUGCAAUUUACUUUAUUAAGCUUAUACAAUCAUCUUCAAGUGUGAUUUUGAGUUGUCAAUCAACACCAAUCUCUACCACACAAUAGAACCAAUCUUUACAUGAUACUUUCAAACUUGGUGGAUCAUGGCCUGCAAAGGACAAAAUAACCAACCAUGCAUCCUGAUCAUUUACCUCACACCCAAUACUAACACAAACUUUGUUUGCUGCGAAUUUCAGUAUUUGUUCAGAAAGUUUUUAACAUACUAUUAACAUUAAAUAGCAAUUUCAUUACUCGAAGAAUGAGGACAUACCUCUCUCAAAGUGCCAUCACCGCCUGUAAUACAAUAAACUCUUCUUCUUCGGUUGUCCUCUUUUGGAUAAGAGGACGUGUUGGUUGCCUUCCCACUUGAACAUGCACUUUUGCUGCCGGGCAGUAGUUGCAGGCUGAAGAAGUUGUUCCUCAAACUCAUUUCUAUUUCCAAUUCAUCCUGUGCAAUAGAAAAUGGUAAUAUCCCAAAAAAAAACCAUGUUUAGGUGCAUCUUCCCCAAUAGGCCCUGACAUGAGGUCAUCUUCUCAAACAAGCCCUUUGACUAUUUCAUAAUUUUUAACCAGUCAAAAUUACCCUUGUAUUAUAUCCUCUAAAAUCAACCGUUUGUCCUCUAAAGUCAGUAUAAGACAAAAAACCCAAAAAAGACAAAAAACAGAAAAAGACAAAAAAACAGUUGAUGUAUAAUUUUUUGGUUUUAACAUUUGAAAAUUUUAUAACUUGUGAUUUAGAAAUCGAAAAUCAACAUGGUGUAUAUGGUUGGAAAGAUCUCGACGAGAUCUUUCAAACAAGAUCCCACAUGACUAUAAAAUUUUAAAUUUAAAAAAUUUAAAUUUUUAUAAAAUUUCAAAUAUUCAUAAAAAUUCAAAAUUUCAUAUUUUUUUACUGAGAAGUUGGGUUUCGAAAAGAAAAGUUUUUAUGAUUUCAAAAGGUUUUUCAAAAUUACACUAAAAAAAUCACCCAUUACUACUAAAUUUAAGAGUUUUUAUUUUUGUCUACUAAAAAAUAUUUUCUUGUCUUCUAACACCAAAACAAUAUCCUCUAAAUUGUUACUUGUUGUUCUGUAAAUUACAAAGGCAUGAUAUAUAUUCCAUAUUAUUAAUAUAUGUGGAUUAUAGUCUAUAAUUUGAUGCAUGAGUUCGAUGUCUCGACUGGUGACAAAACCCUUAUAGUAUAGAGAAAAAGAAAAUCAUAUUGCUAUGAAAAGUUUAUAAAAACGUUUAAUGUAUAGUUAACUUCACAAAAGACUAUAUACUCUUUUUAGGUUAUAUCCCAAACCACAAGAAAGAGAAUAUAACCCAGUUUAAACACAUAUCCCUCAUUUUGCCUGAUGUAAUGCUAAGAAGCGCGUCAAAUUUGUACUUCAUUCUUCUUUCCCAUCCCCCACACUAGAACAAUAUAAUAGCUCAUAUCUCUAACCAUUUUUUUUUUUUGGCAAACGGGGUUGAGGGCACCCCUUACCCCUUUAAAUUACGUGAGGAAACUUAUAUCAAACAAUCAGUUACUGGUGUGUUUUGAACCAACGACCUCUUCACUUUGUGAGAUGGAUGCAACCGUUGAGCCACAAACUCAUGUGCUCUCUAACCAUCAUUGAAACUGAUAAUCUGCCUUUGGUUAAACACUCAUGUAUUCUUAUUUUUCACAAAAUCCAAGUAAUACAUAUUGAACCAUGACCAAUAUACUUUGAUAAUCAGCUUUAAUCCACUUCUCAACACUUUUCAAUAUAUAAUGUGAUUUAAUAAUUGAAUACAGUAAAACCUCGAUAAAUGAAUAUUCGAUAAAUCAAUAACCUCGCUUGAGUAAUAAAUUUAUCUGGUCUCAAUUUGUAGUUUUGUACUAAAUGAGUGUUCGAUAAAUGAAUAACCUCGUUUACGUAAUAAAAAAAUUCAGUCCCAAGGGUAUUCAUUUAUCGAGGUUUUACUAUAUUAAGUGGAUAUAAUAGCUUAUUUAGAGGAUAAAAGUAUAUUGUUUAGAGAACAACAAUCAAUGUUUUAGCGGACAAGACCCUUACAGUAUAUAGAGAAAAAAUUAUCAAGAAAAUAAAAAUCACAUGUUUUUUUUUUUUUUUUUUGCAUACCCAUGUGGGAUCAUAUUAGAUAGAUCUCAUCAAGAUCUUUCCAACCAUAUACAUCAUAUUGAUUUUUAAUUUCUUAAUCAAAAGAUAUAUAAGUUACAAAUAAUAUAACAAAUAAAAUUAAUUAAUAUUAAAAAAUAUAUUUUUGUCUCUUUCUUAUUUGUCUUAUUCUAAUUUUUCUCUUUUGUCUUUAGUACAAAGGGUAUUUUAGUAAAACAAAAUAAAGAAAAGUGGGGUAAAGGCUUGUUUGAGAAGAUGACCCCAUGUCAGGGCCUAUUGGGGAAGAGGCACUUAAACAUGGGGCUUUUUUGGAUAUUACCCAUAGAAAAUCUUAAGAAAUAUUUUCCAGAAGAAUAAAAAUUGAUAGAAGUUAAGAAAUGUCAAUUUUUGAAAUACCUCAUCAAAAUCGGCAGCUGAGCCAAAUGGAGUUGACAAAUGACAAUGCUUCUUGAAUUUGUUUCAUAUGCUUUGUCUGCUCGUUGAUCUCGUCCAUUGUCUUGUCCACAUCAUCAUGUUACUGAAAGAGAUGAAAGCAAAGAGAAUUAAAUUUUCCUUCAAGACUAUUAUGCAAAAAAAUUGGGAAAUUGAUUUAAUUAGGAUGUAAUAGCAGAAACCCCAAAUGCCCAUAGGCAGAUAUGGGAUACCAGUGCAUAUUUGGCACAAUAAUAAUAAUGAAACUACAACAAUAAGUAUUAUCUUAAACUAAUUGUGCACGCCAACCUUCUUCCUUGAACAUGACCUCCAUGUCUCUUGUUGUUCCUUUAUCCCAUUUUGCGAUGAUCAUAUAGAUUUUCUAUGUAAGAUUCAUUCUUCUAUUUGAAAGAUACACUUCUAUUAACUGGGGUGACAAAAUCAAUAGCCCAAGUGCCCAACCACUAUCCAUCAUCAAUGGUUGAGAUACUUUAAACUCCAUUCAUAGGCGUGUUUUAAGUAUAUCUCCUAUUAUCAACCAAUUUAAUUCAUGUAUAAAAUAUAUUAGAUUGAUAUUUCCGAAAGCAGAUACUGAUUAUUUGAUAUUUCCAGUAGUAGAUAUAGAGUAUUUAAUAGCCAUACAGAAAUUAGUAGAAGCCUCUGCAAUAAAACAAACAUAUUGAUAUAGAGUAUACUUAUAGCAUAUGAUUAUUAAAUUCUUCUUUAUUUCCUUAAGGAUUUUAUAAAGAAGACUCAGUAAUAGAACAGUUGUGUCUUCACUUGGAGUGGUCAUCAAAGGCAUAGUUGGACAGAGACAACUAAGGUAUAUUUCGUUUUAUCUUUAUGUGAUUAUGUUAUACGUUGUGACUGAUCUUCUUAACCAUGAGUAAUCAAUGACAUAAGUAAUACUUGAGUUGAGUAACUGUUGGUAACGAUAUGUGUGAACUCAUAAAAUAACACAUGAAUAUCAUUGUAAUACACAUUACAAAUUAAUUCUACUAAAGAAUAAAACUCAAAAGAAUUUAUACUCAAUAAACUCAAAAAUAAAUAAACACUUACUACACUUUUCGCAUAAAGAUUUGGAGAAGGAAAUGAACUGAGGGUUGCCGAAGCAAUUUCCUUAAGACAAUAUUACGUUCCUGCUAUGGUGCAAACAGUCUCUGGACGAUUGGUCUCCCAAGAUACAACAGUUCUUCACUCUACUAAAUUGCACUGUAAUAGUAGAGUACUAGUGAACGAAUAUGAAGAACCCUUCGAAUUAUUGUAGAGAAAUGAAGAAGACUUUGUCUAAUUAAUUGUAUACUUUUUGGCCAGAUUAGCACACUAUUUAUAGUCACAUAAGUGUCUCUUCAUAGGUGUCUUCUCACAUACAUACACCUUUUACAAAAAGGUGAUAAAUUAUUUCAAAGUACCUUUUCACAAAUAGACACCUAUUGUAGACUAAAGGAAAAUACAUGUCUAAUACACUGAAUCUGGUCACACCAAUUCCUAAAAGGUAUUAUCCAAUGGAUGCACCUUUUCUCUUUAAUUUUCACUCAUAACAAAAUAUUCUCAUAUCCAAUAUAUUUUCAAUAAUCCCCUACAUGAGUGACAAUUAUCUACAAUGUUUUAUAAGACCCAAACAAGCCCACAACCCAUUGUGGGACUAUAGAACAUUAAGUUCUAUGUUUCAUUCAUAUAUUAUAGAAUUUUCCUUCAAUAAUUCCCCACAUGAAUGAAAACGAUUCUACAACAUCUCAAAAUUUCGAAGAGUAUGUUGGAACAACAUUGCCUCGGGAUAGGUAGAUAUUUCACUUUGAACCUUCCGUAGCAUAAGCCUAUCGGAUUUACUUAGCUAAUCAGUGAAAUAUUUCAUCUUGAACUGUCAACUGUUGGUGUAAACCAAGACAAUAAACCAUGCACAACAUUGCUCCGAUUCAAAUUCAAUUCUCGGUUGUGUUCAUAUUUGGCCUUGAACAAUCUUAGGUUCUGCGAGUGCUAUUAGAGAAAUUCUGCCUUUAAGAAUCCUCAUAGAGCCGACCCAGCUCUCACUAACAUAGGUGACCGCUUCUAUAAAAGGUAUCCUACAAUACCUCACGUGUAUUUCACAAGAUAUAGACGUCAUUAAAAGCAUAGCUUAACCUCUUAAUCGCAUGUAGGUUGCACUUAUUGCAUCAUAGGAAUCGGGAUGGAGUAGGACUCCCAAGUGCUCCCGUGUGAUUUACUCAGAACUGGUUGUCCUAUUGAACCUAGUCCGUGGGAUCUCCAGUCGCUAGGUUAGGUUUCCGUAUAAGAUAACUCGUAUUGGUUUAGGCUUUAGGCACAUUCCCCUCGAUGCACAGUUAUUUUUCUCUCUAGAUAAACCUUAAUAAAUGGAUCCGUUAGGUUAUCUUUUGAUUUCACAUAAUCAAUGGAUGAAAUUUCAUUUAAGAGUAACUGUCUUACAGUAUUAUGUCUACGAUGUAUUAUUUGUACAUCAUGACUUACCGUUGUACAUUAAUUUUUUUUUUUUUUUUUUUUACUUUCCACAUUGUUGCAUCAUAUGACCCCCCACAUUGUUAGGCCAUAGUGGAAUAUCUUCUAAAAUUCUUGAAGCCACUCAACUUCUACACUUGUUUUACUUAUAGCUAUAAACUCAAAUUCCAUAUGGAUUGUGCAAUGCACAUUUGUUUAGAAGAUUUCCAUGAAAUUGCAACAUGUGCUUUGAUAAACACAUAACCACUAGUUGUUCUUGAUUUUCUUGUAUCAGAAAAUCAAUUUGCAUUAGCGUAUCCCUCAAGGACAUUUGGAUAUUCUCCAUAAUGCAAUGUGUAAUAAGUAUUUCUCAAAUACUUACAUUCGUAGUAAUACAUCUCAGCGCUUUAUUUACUGAUAGAAUAAGCAAUAUAUGGUUUUGUACAAGUCACAAUGUACAUUAAUCUACCAAUAUUACGAGAUACUCGAGUUGAAAAAUGGUAGGACCAAUAUUUUAUGCAACACCACGAAUGGAAUACAAGGAGUACUCACCUUAGUAAUUCUAUAUUGUAUAAGUCUAUAUCUAUCAUUUUCUCAAUGUAAUUUGAUUGAGAUAAAGUUCGCACAUUAGGAGAUCUUAUUAUCUUAAUUCUCAAGAUAAACGUCUAGAAUCUCUAGAUUUUUCACAUCAAAAUUGUUUGUUAAACAUAUUUUCGUAGACUUAAUGACUUCAUUAUUAGUCUUGAAAGUAAGCAUGUCCUCAACAUAUAUAUAAACAAACAAUUAAAUAAGUCUCGCAUAUUUGCUUGAAAUAGACACACUUGUCAUAUUAGCUGAUGUGAAACCCUUUCUUUAAUAUACCUCUAACUAGCAUCACAUGCCAUUGUGUUGGAAGUUCUUUUUAAACCAGAGAAGAAUCUAACCAGUUUGAACAUUUUCUUUCCUUAUCCUUGGAUUUGAAAUACUUCUGGUUGAUCCAUAUAGAUAUCCUUAGCUACUCACCACUUAGAAAUGCAGUUUUGAACAUCCUCUUGAUGAAUUUUCAUAUCAUAUAUGGCUGCAAUGACUAUUAAUAUCUGAAUAGAUAUUAUCCUCGUGAUUAGUGAGUAGUUGUCAAGAUAGUUUAAACCUUCUUUUGACAACACUCUUUUGCUAGUAAACUAGCUUUAUAUUUGUCAAUGGAACCACUAGGUUUCAUUUUGCUCUUAAAAACUAUUUAUACCCGAAUGAUUUAGUUCUCAAAAGAAGAUAAAUCAAUUCCCAAGUAAUAUAAUAGUUUCGGUCUCACUAGGUGUCACUUUCUCCAAAGUAAAGCUUUAAUUCAUGCUCAAAUUUCUAUCAUAUAAGAUAGAAAAUCUAGACCAAAAGAGUUAGAGGUUCUAGCCUUCUUAGUCCGUCUUGGUUUGUAUACUUCAAUUUUAUCUGAAUCACAUGUUCAUUCAUUUGUCUCACAAGAUACCAAAAUAUUUAUUUUGGAGUAGUGUCAAUGUGAUCUUUCCUAUGUGGAAAGGCAAUCUCACAGAAUGUGAUAUCACAUGACUUUCAUUAUAGUAUUUGAUACUAUAUCUCUAUUUUUCAGAAUUCUACAAAAAUUUGAACGCGUUACUGUUUUGAGCAUAGCCCAGAAAAUAGCAUUCACUCAUUUUUAAUUUUUAUGUCUAAGUUUGGUUCUCUUUAUAGUGGAACCAUAACUUUAGGCAUAUACCCCCACACUUGAAGGUAUUUAUAAGUUGUCACCCUUUUUUCCAUAUUUUAUAUGGAACAUUGUCAUUUUUCUUAUAGGGUACUCAAUAUGUAAAUAAGCAUACGUAAAAUUCCCCUUUAAGACUUCACAUAUAUUAGAAUUUAUAGACAUAAUAUUGAUUAUAUCUUUUAAAAUUCUGAUCCAACACAAAUUUGAACCAAUAGAAAUUCUUAUUCACCCCAUUUAUCAAGAUGUUAUGAUCUUGAUUUUCCAAACUGAUUCUCAAAUCUAGUUUUGUACUUUUGUAAAAAUACUUAAUACCUUUACUAAGCAAUAGCGAGUGCAUACAUAAAUCAAUAUGUAUUAAAUAUAAUGACUCAGUACACCUCUCAAAUGAAUGAAAGUGUUGUUUAGCAAAUUUUACUUCAACACAAGUCUCAUACUUAUGGGAUGAAUUAUAUUUCAAAUUUAGGAUCUAAUUAAUCCAAACGUGCUUACACAUAAGCAAUGGAUUCAUUUCCUCAAUGAAUUAAAAACUUGCCAACUAGAUUUCUUAAAGAAAUCAUUUGCUUCUUAAUAGAUUGAGAUUUAGACAAGUUUGGAGUAUUUCAAAAUCUCGUUGAAAACAAUGUUACUCUUAGGUGCAAUGCACCCCGCAUCGUCACGAGAUUUUGAGUAGUGUGCCAUUAAAACACAUAAUAGAAAUUCCAUAAUUUUCCUCGCUAAAAAUUAUUAAAAAUUCGUAUGCCCCCACAUAUUUCCAAUUUUCUCGUGACAAAUAAAUGUCUAAAAAAAAAUAUAUCACAUUUAAAUGUGUCUCAGUACACUAUUAGCACAAAUAGUGUUAUACUGUUAUGUAUUGGUCUAUUCAUAAAUCCUCAUUUUGGCCUAACCAAAUGCCACUUAGAUUAAAAUAGAGUUACUGUUGAACCUCCUAAGGAUGGACACCUUGGAAAUAAACACAGGAGUGAUUGAACCUCAAUCAUACAACAACUCACUGGACCAGACUCUUUCCUAGCCCAGUAACCCAUCUCAUGGGCCAAAGUUAUAACAGUAAACUCAUGGGCCUGAAUUCAAGGACUCAAUUAACAGUUACCAAAUGAACAGUACGCUGUUUUAAUUAUAACUGAACAUCCAACCGUUAGAUGAUCACAAAGUUUGUACAAGAUGUACCUGCAGAUGUUGUGUAACUACUGUAUAAAUUUCAGGACGAUCGGUUAAGUGGAAGACUUCCAUCCACUUAUGAUCUCCAUAGUCCAUACUGUGCAUAAGCCACACUACUGUUAUAAGUAAAAAACUCAUGGGCCUCACUGAUUUAAUAGUAAAACAGGCCCAAUAUCCAAUUAAGCAUUCAAAUUUCAAACGUUUAAUUCAGAUCAAUGAAACGCCACAUACAGUAUCCCUGUGUUAGCGUAGACUAGACCUGUCAGCUAUCCAAACCGAUCCAAAAUCCAAACUGAUCCAAAACCGAUCCAAAAUCCAAACCGAUCCAAAACCGAUCCGAACCAUUAUUUAUGGUUUUUGGAUAUCCAAAUGAGCAAAUGGAUCAGAUGAAGUGGUUUUUCGGAUAUCCAAUUAUUUUUUGGUUCGUUUUGGAUAAUAUCAUAAAAAAACCGAACCGAUCCAUUUCUUCAGAAAAAAAAAGUUUCAAUUCAAAUCUUCUGUUCGUAAAAAAUCCCAAUCCGCCUCUUCUUCUCACAACUUAUCAAUAUAGAUACAUAAUUGAUUGUUUGGUUGUUAGUAAUUGGAAUUAUAAGCUGUUAAUGCUUGCAAUUUGAUGGUUGGGGUUUGUUGAUUCAUGAAGAAAUUUGAGUUUUCAGGAAAAUUAAUUUUUUUUUUCGAUUCUUGUCAAAUUUAAGAGUAAGUUCUGCCCCUUUGCACCUAUUUGGUGGAUUUCUGGAUGUAAUUAUAGUUAAGUAGUUUAAUGGAAGUUUUAAUAGUUGUCUUGAUUAGUAAAAUUGAAAACCUUCAAGAGGUUUUGAAGACAAAGGAGAAUAUUAUCAUUGGUGUUUAAUGGCGUCGAAUCAGAGUAGAAGAGAGGUUAGAGAGGUGGAUCAUGCUCUAGAAGAAAUUGAUUUCAACGAGGGAAUCAAAAGUUGUAUUUUUAAAUUUUUAAAUUUUAAACUUACAUGAAGAGGAGAAGAACAAAAAAAAUAAAAAAAUGAAUUGGAGAAGAAGAGAUUUUCAGAUCGGAUCAGUUUGGAUCGGAUCGGAUAAUCCAAUACUUUGAUUGGAUCGGUUUGGAUAGUAACAGUUUGUAUCCAUUGUACAAUUGGAUCGGAUUGGUUUGGAUAGUAAAAGUUUGGAUCGGUUUGGAUCACUAGAAAAACCGAACCGAACCGAUCCAUUGACAGGCCUAGGGACUGUAGACUAUACAUCUUCUACAAAGGACAAAAAGUUUUAACAAAUUGUUCCCUUACUCAAUGAACAGAUUUCAUCAUUUCAAGAGCGCGACGAAUCACCCAAAGCCACAAAGAUUUCACUCUGUACUUAAAAGGUUGAGACAUUAAACCAUGAUUUGGAAACAAGUGUGAAGCGUUUCGUCACACCUUUUGAAUUGAGAAAUAAUUUCAAACCGAUACAGUUUAGCAACAAGGAUGUGAAUCAGUGUCUUAGAGCAUUCCCAAUGCAAGGUGGAUUUUGGGGGUGGGGUGGAUAAAUCCACCUUGUAGCCUAAAACAAUGUCCCAAGGGGAGGUGGAUUUUGGGGGGUGGCUGCCCACAGGUGGAUUUGAAGGUGGAUGAAUCCACCUUCAAAUCCACCUGUGGGUGGUAGAAUCGGACGGCAUGUUACAUGUCGUCCUACUAAAAAUUACAAUAGGACGGCAUGUAACAUGCCGUCCGGAUAUUAAAACCAAACAGACGGCAUGUUACAUGCCGUCCAGAUUUUAAAAACCUAGAGACGGCAUGUAACAUGCCGUCCGAAAUCUAAAAACAAUCAGACGGCAUGUUACAUGCCGUCCGACCUGUAACGGCUAUAAAAUUCAAAUUUUGCAGCAACGGUCAUCUACUGGUUCAUUUUUUUGCCAAAUCUAUAUAAAUAUGGACAUACAUGUAUGAACUACUAAGAAUAUUUUUCUGCUAAAAAUAUAGCUACUUCUUCACAAAAAGCUGCACAAAUUGCUUGGACAAUGCAAGAAGAUGAAGCUUUGUGUCGUACUUGGGUCACAAUUUCCGAAGAUCCAUCCAAAGGGCGAUUUCAACCCGUUAGUGGGUUUUGGGCACGAAUUCGAAACGAAUUCGUUUUGAUGCAACCUUCUAGUAAUGAGAGGACUCCCGAUGCUCUAUCUUGUCGUUAUAAGCAUAUCCAAAAGCAUCUAAACAAAUUUGUUGGAUUUAUUGAAGGUAUUGAAGCAAAUCCACCAAGUGGAUCAAAUCACGAAGAUUGGGUAAGUAAAUUCUUUUGAGUUUGAAAUAUUUUAUUUAUUUUCCAAGUUAGAAUUUUAGUGUGUUUUGACCUUAUUUUAAUUCUAUAAUUUUUCCUUUUCAUGAUCAAAUUAUAGGUUAAUAUGGCUAGAAGUGCUUAUCAACUUGAAACUCGAAAAGCAUUUGGUUUUGAUCAUGCAUAUGCAAUCUUACAACAUUCACCAAAGUGGAAUGCGGCAUUUGAAACAAAGAAAACGAAGAAAAAGAAUGUUGUGCAAGAAAGUCCACCUCCUACUUUUGGUCAAAGUCCAAUAUUCAAUGACUCACCAAAUGUCAUAGAACGUCCCGAAGGAAAGAAAUUGGAGAAGGAUAAGAAAAGAAAGGGUCAAGAAUCGCUUAAGCUUAUGGAAGGGUUUAUUCAACGUUUGGAAGGAAAGUUUGAAGUUGAUGAUGCGGUCAUUGCUUCUUCGCUUGAAAUUAGGAAACAAGAGCUUGAGGCGCAAAAGGAAAGGACUAGGGUCCAAGAUGAGAAAAACCGAAUCAAGCUUUUCGAAACCGAAUCCAAAAUCUUAGCGACCGAUUUAACAAUCCUUGAUCCACGAGCACGUGAACUAAUGAGAAUGAGGCAAACCCAAAUUAAGAACAAAUGGGGUAAGGAAUUAAAUGAUAUUGGGGGUAGUGGUUAUGAUUCUUCCGAAGAUGUUUAGUUUAUCUAUAUAACCAUAAUGCGGCCUUGUCUUUGUAAGCCCUUUGGGCCUUGUCUUUGUAAGCCCUUUGGGCCCUGUCCUUGUAAGCCUUCGGGCCAUGAUUAAUAUAAAAGAAAAUCCAAAAAAACAAAUAUAUAUAUAUAUAUAUAUAUAUAUAUAUAUAUAUAUAUAUAUAUAUAUAUAUAUAUAUAUAUAUAUAUAUAUAUGUGGCCAUCAAAUACAUUUAAUAACCAUAGUGUCAAAUAGGUUACAUCGGGAUUUAAAAUGGCUCUAUAGUGCCAUUAAAAUAAAACACACACUACACAUCAAGGGGUUGGUUACCAUCCCGAUUCCAAAGAUGCUCUACCAAAUCGGCUUGGAGUUGGGCAUUUUGAACUGCAUUUCUAAUAAUACCUCUUUGGGUAACAUAAUGAAUCACAUAUGCCAUACCAACUGGUAUAAACCUUGCCGGUUCAUUUUUCCCUUCCUCAGGUUCCCAAUUUUCAACUCCGGUCAAGCGUUCAUCAUCAACAAUCAUAUUGUGCAAAAUUAUACAAGUUUUCAUAAUUCUCCCAAGUUUUUCAACUGAAUGGCAUAUUGCAGAAUUUUUCACUAUAUGCCAUCUAGCUUGCAAGACACCAAAUGCUCUUUCAAUAUCUUUUCUCGCAGAUUCUUGUCUUGAUGUGAAAUGACGCGCUUUAAGUGUUCUUGGGUCCUUAAUUGCUUUAAUCAAUGUUGCCCAAUUGGGAUAGAUACCAUCGGAUAGAUAAUAACCUAAGUUAUAGUUUCUACCAUUAACUACAUAGUUGAAAUUAGGAGCAGUACCUGAUAGAAGAGUGUCAAAUACAUCUGAGCGUUGUAGCACGUUGAUAUCAUUAUGAGAGCCCGGCAUGCCGAAGAACAUGUGCCAAAUCCAAAGAUCUUUAUCAGCUACUCUUCAAGAAUAAGAGUAGGGUCUUUCAUAUGCCCUUUAUGUUGCCCUGCCCAACCAGUCGGGCAAUUCUUCCAGGUCCAGUGCAUGCAGUCAAUAGAACCAAGCAUUCCAGGAAAUCCACGUGCCUCAUUUUGUGCAAGAAUGCGAUUUGUAUCAUCUUGAUUAGGUGUCCGCAAAAACUCGUCUUCAAACACAACAAUAACUGCAUUACAAAAUUUAUGUAAAGACUCAAUCGCUGUGGAAUCUCCAAUUUGGUGGUAUUCAUCACAACCAUCAGCUGCACACCCUGAUGCUAAUUGCUUCACUGCAGCCAUACACUUCAACAACCCAGGAACCCCCCAUUUACCAACUGCAUCUUUCUUAUCAACAAAAUAAGGAUCAUUUUCCCUUACUUUAAGAUAAAUGUACCAAAAAAGCUCUCUUCUCAUUCUAUAGCGACGUCGAAAUUUGUCGGGCUCAUACUUUGGUUUCUCGGCAAAAUAAUCUCCAAUAAUCAGAUCAUGACGUACACGCCUAUCACGAUGAGUAUAGAAUCUUCCAACUACAGACCCACCUCUAUGAUCAGAUGUGUUUGCUUCUUCCAAAGCAUGAUCUAACAAUGGUACCAUCCCCGUCAACAACUUUCUUCUAUUUCUAUGUGUUCUUAAUAUCAUCUCAUUCUCUUGUCUAUUUCUCUCCAUACGCUCGUAGUCGGCAUCAUCAGAUGAGCUAGAUGAUGAAGAACCAACCCAUAAUUGUUUGUUAUGGUUGUUUGCCAUUGUUUGCUAGUGUUGAACUGGUGUGUUUGCUAGUGUUGAACUGGUGUUGAAGAUAGAAAUGUGGAACAGAAAACUGGUGUUGAAGACUUGAAGAUAGAAAACUGGGGUUGAAGUGUUGAAGAUAGAAAUAGCCCGACAAGUAGGAUGCAAGAACACUUUGUCUUUCAAGUACAAAGCAUGGUAAACCCCUAAAAUUCUUACCAAAUGUCGUUGACCUUCUCAUUCAACGCAGUACGGACGNNNNNNNNNNNNNNNNNNNNNNNNNNNNNNNNNNNNNNNNNNNNNNNNNNNNNNNNNNNNNNNNNNNNNNNNNNNNNNNNNNNNNNNNNNNNNNNNNNNNCGUAUUUUUAAGGACAAACGACAUGAGAAGAUGCCGUCUGUCUCUUAAAGUUCAAAAACACAAAAAAGGGACAGAUCUUUGCUGACUCCCCUGUUUUCCUGAAAAUUUGUCGACUCCACUGCCGAUCACAUGUAAACAGAAAAAAAAAUAAAUAAUAACAAUAUAGUAGCCACACAAAAUAUUUUUACAUAUUAAAAAACAAUCCAUAUCCGUCCGCACAAAUUAAAUAUUAACCCAAAAGUUUGGAUACAAAAAAUAAACUACUCCUCGACAUCAUAAUCAUCAUCUAGACGAGCCAUGCUCGUACUCGUACUCGUGCUUGUUCUCUUGCGUUGUUGCCUCCUUGUUGGACGGGUUUGUGGUUGUGUGGCCAUGUCAUCCAAGCCCGGUUGAAAUGAUCCCAACUGAACUUGCAAUCGGGCAUUCUCGUCUCUUUGUGCUUCAAGAUACUCGAAACUCGUACGAGAUUGUUGUAAGAGUGUAUCUCGCAAGCCGUACACUAAAGAUUGCGACUGAAUCAACUGAGCACGCAUUGUUUCCUAAAAAAUAAAAACCAUAUUAUUGAAAAUGAUAUUUUAUAUUCAAUAUAUUAUUUAACUCUAUAAUUAAAUAAAACGAUACUAACCAUAUCCAUAUCCUGUAAUUGUUGAGUGAGCUCGUUCAUGUAAGUCUCGGGGGCUAAGUGGACUGGUAUAUACGUCUCUAAGCCGUGUGAAGUAACCACCGAGCACUGCCAUGGGUCAUCGGGAUUGGGAACUUGGGGUACAUGAUCAUAUCCACCAGUGUGAACCGUACGUAGACGAGAACUGAAUGUGUACAUCACUACGCAAUGCCUGACUAGUAACACCGUCAAAGUUCGGUCCUCGAUAGGUAGUCGGUGGUAGUAGAGUCCCACGACUAACUCUAGCCCAAUAUCUCAUAUACUCCCUCUCAUCCUCAAUAGGUAAUAAAAAGUCCGAUGCUAGUGGCCAUUCCAAGUGCUCCUUAAACCAUGCCAAGGUACAAAGAUCAACAUCCAUAGCUGUCAUGUCAGAUGGUGGUGGAUAAGGAAUCUGUGGUGUCCCAGUACACUGUCUCCAACACCUAUCACCUAGGUACCAAGUCCUAAACCCAUCGGGAGCCAUCAACACCAUCCUACGUCGACUCAUUUCCCUAGCAUGGUAAACAUCUCUAGAUUGACGUCUAAGUGGUUCAAAAGUCACAUCCAUUGUGUCUAUCUUAAACAAUGAUGCAUCACUCCACGGUUGCCAAUUAACUCCCCUAUCACCCCUAAGCUCUAUUUGGCCUCGUGCAAAAUGGACAUUGUGUUUCAUUUCAUUAAAAUGUGGGAUCCUACGAUCUUUACCCCAAGCACGGAUACGAGGUAUAAUAUCAUGAUCCAUAGUUUCAUCCAGUGAGGGGUUCAUUGUACGAAAGUACUCAUACCACCAAAACUAUAAGCCAAAAAUAAAUGCAUGCGUGUAAGCAAAAACUAAAUAUAAAUGUAUCUAGUAAACACUAAAACUAGCAUCACGUAAAUGCAAAAAAAAAAGAUAGGAAAUAUUUAAAAACUUACCGGUAAAAUAACCACAAAGCCAGCAAGAGAUCCGUGACCACUAGGUCGAAUGGCGGCAUCAAGACCAUGGUACAAAUGGGUCAUAGUGGCUCCCCCCCAAUCAAAGUCCCACAUCUUAUCAAAAUUUAAUAAUCCACGUAGCCACCCCAUACGAAUAUAACUAUCUCGAUUCUUAAAAAGAACAUUACCCACAAAGUAAAAAAGGUAUGCAAGAACAUACUCAUUAACACACUCAUCCGGUAAUGCCCAAUCUUUUGGCUUACUUCUCAAAAAAUCAAUAUAUCUAUCUUUGAACCAAGCCGCCCUAAUUCCCCCAUUCUUCCAAUCUUUUUUUCUAUCAAAUCUUGCCAAUGGAUUGUCAAGACAUGGAAAAUAGUUGUGAAGAUCAUCAAACAUCUCCAUUGUAUCAUCAAAUGGAACCGUAUCCUCAAUACCCACACUUAACCCCGUUAGCAUAGUAAAAUCAAGUGGGGUUAUCCCGGCUUCACCCCAUGGAAAAUGGAAUGUAUGUGUACUAUCCCACCACCUCUCUACUAAAGCAUACUCUAAAGACACAUCAUUCUUUCCCCAAUCAAAAGCUAUAAUUGGACCUAAGGGUGUACAUGAUAACAUAGUACAUACCCGACCGAAAUUGGGAUGAGUUUUGCUCGUAAGUAAUUUCCACCAACCUUGAGCCGUUUGAUGAGCGCAACGAAUCUUCCAUUGAUGGAUUUUCUAAAAAAUAAUUAACAAACAACAAAACAAUGAAAACGACAUUCGUUUAUGUAUUUUAAUUUCUAAUGGGCAUUUAAUCAAACACUUUAUAAACAACACUACCAAACCCCUAAAUAAAGUAAAAAAAAUUGCAAAUUCUUACCUGUGUGUUCUCCAUUUCAUAGGUAACAUGUGUCUCUCUACUUGGGCAAAGGGUAGGAUGCAAAUUGGGUGCAAUUGUGUCGGGAAAUUGUAAAUGCGGCACAAAUGCCUCAUUUUCAUCAAUUGCUUCGGUAUUGAGAUUACGAGGUGUUGAAGAUGACCCUCUACUUGAUUUAUGGGUCAUCUUCUUCCUAUUUAACCAUCUAGAUGCUGGUUUAAAUAGGUCUGACAUUUUAGAUUCCGGUAAAACAGCAAGAAAAGGGAAGAAAGUUUGGGGAAGAUAACAAUGGAGGCAAAAAGAAAGAAAAGAAGAAAGAAAGGAAAAGAUCUGUCUACUGAUUCGAAUGUUUUGGUUUAUAUAUGAAAUCCGGACGGCAUGUGACAUGCCGUCCGGUCUUAAAAACAUACGGACGGCAUGUUACAUGCCGUCUGGACUAAAAUAAAUACGGACGGCAUGUUACAUGCCGUCUGAAGUUAAAAAACAAAUGGACGGCAUGUGACAUGCCGUCCGGAUGUUUAAAUUUUUUUUUUAAGUGCAGACGGCAUGUAACAUGCCGUCCGCCUUUUAAAUCCACUCCAAACCCCCACCCUGCGUUGGGAGACUACCACCCAGGUGCAAAUACACCUCUCUCUUUGAGGUGGAUUUUGCCUAGGUGGACCUACGUGGCGCCUACGUGGAGGUGGAUUUAUCCACCCUCCAUUGGGAAUGCUCUUAGACAUCCACCUUUCCAGUUUUUCGUUUCUUUUCAAUUCAAUUUGAAAUUGCUGAAUUGGUGCCAACUUCCAUGCAUCACAUGCACACAAUAUUUUCAUUAACACACAGGAUGUUAAAUCGAUCUCUGCAAUAUCUCAUUUGAACGCGUGAAUGGUGACAUGUUAAAUCUCUGCAUGCAUCUCAUUUGAAUGCGUGAACAUUUGCUUACAACUUAGUAUGUGUCUCACACAUCAUUUGGUUUUGAUACCAACCAGCACUGUUUGGUUGAAAACACUAAUUAGAUAAACAAAUGUUUUUACCAUGUGUAAGAACAGAAUCCAAGGGACACCAUUGUGAACUCUCUUCACUGCCAAAUGCCCUUUGUGAUUUUACCGCAUGAUUAUACGCAUACAAAUGCUUGUACACUCUGUACUUGACAUCACUAUGGUGCUCUUGGAUUUUUAUUUAUCGAUCACUUUAAUUUCAAUCACACUUUAAUCAAAUUACCAACAUAAUAUUGUCUUAAGUUUGUUGGUAAUGAACUCAUAAAAUAACACAUAAAUAUCAUUAUAAUACACAUUACAAAAUUAAUUCUACUAAAGAAUAAAACUCAAAAGAAUUUAUACUCAAUAAACUCAAAAAUAAAUACACUUACUACACUUUUCGCAUAAAGAUUUGGAGAAGAAAAUGAAGUGAGGGUUGCCGAAGCAAUUUCCUUAAGACAAUAUUACGUCCCUGCUAUGGUGCAAACAGUCUCUGGACGAUUGGUCUCCCAAGAUACAACAGUUCUUCACUCUACUUAAUUACAAUGUAAUAGUAGAGUACUAGCGAACGAAUAUGAAGAACCCUUCGAAUUAUUGUAGAGAAAUGAAGAAGACUUUGUCUAAUUAAUUGUAUACUUUUUUGCCAGAUUAGCACACUAUUUAUAGUCACAUAAGUGUCUCUUCAUAGGUGUCUUCUCAUAUACAUACACAUUUUACAAAAAGGUGAUAAGUUGUUUCAAAGUACCUUUUCACAAAUAGGCACCUAUUGUAGACUAAAGGAAAAGACAUGUCUAAUACACUGAACUGGUCACACCAAUUCCUAAAAGGUAUUAUCCAAUGGAUGCACCUUUUCUCCUUAAUUUUCACUCAUAACAAAAUAUUUUAUUUGAAAAUAUAUUUCCAACAGUAACGUGGUCUGUUUAGCCUUACCCUAAACCUCAAGUCUUCAGAAAAGACCUUACGUUUAUCAAGCGCAGGCACCUGGAUUUAAUAUAGGUGCAUUUUUCCCUUGGGGUUCCCAACAGUUGUGUUUUAGGAAUUUGUCUCACAUUGAUAUAAAGACAUCUUAUGUUUUUUUUACUCUCUGUAUCUGAUUACUAAGAAACUUAAGUUACGUUGUCGUUAAUUUAAAGGUCCUAAGCCACACAAUGAUUGGUUCUAAUCAAAUAAAUUGAUAGGAAUGGCAGCAUAUCCCAUUGCACCUACGCAACUUGUACUUUUAUAAAAUGCAUAUCUCAAAUUCAAACAAAUUGUUAAGAAUGAGAACAUAUCUCUUAAUUUUGACAUUAAAUGAGUUGUUAUUUUUUAGAAAGUGGUGAGUUUUAUUUACAGUUAUUCAGUAUAUAAAAUGAAGAGAGAGCCAGUAUAACCUGAAAUGCUUAGUAGAAUUGAGAUUCAACCAGUUCUGUGAUAGAAGAUGAAGAAGAAAACGAAAAAGAGAGCACCUGAGAAAAAAAUAAAAGUUCACUUAUACUACUGUAAGAGUAACCUAGCAGAUAUUAGCAAAAUAAAAGAAGUGGGAAAAAGAAAAGAAAAGAUUAGUUGUAAUAAAAUCACCGACGAAUAAAACACAUUUCAUAGACAACUAUGAUAGAAUUACUAACUUUGGUCUCUAUUGACCAAAGUUCACCAAGUAUGGAGCUUUAAAAUGAAACUAUUAAACUUUUUAAAGCUUGGAUGUUUGGCAUCUACAAUUCGGGAAUUUUAGUAGAGAAAAUGUCAAAACCUAAAGGGCUUAUUAGAUUUGCAAGAACAUGAGCCAAAGAGCUAAAUGUCCAAAGUCAUAUUAUAUCCUCUCUCCGACUACAUACUGUUACACCUAUGAUUAAGAAAAUUAAUUGACCUAUAGCAGUAUAGGUUACCUCUAUUAAGAAGAGUAAUAUUGUCUAUAUCGAUUAAUGGAAGUUUGAGUUACUCGGAAUCAAACUUAUUGACUCAAAUACAAGGUUGUCUUUAGUGUCGUUGGUUUAUCUGCAGGUAUCCUUAGAUUUAUAGGCUAUUUUUAUGUAAAAACACCACUUUAUGAUUGAUGAAUAGCCUAAAGCGUUCAUUCAAUGGUUAUUAUCAUUCAACAGAUAUAGGAAUGAGAAAAAUUACCUAGUAUAUAUGAUCGCUUACAAAUCACCCCAAAAAAUCUUCAAACUGGAAAUCUGCGAUAAUCAUAGAACCCACAGUUAAGAGUCAAACUCAAUCCACAAUUUUAGUAGAAUAUCAACACCAACAAAACAGUGUUGAAAAAGGGUGUCAGAAAUCAAUCAAACAAGAUCUUAUUUUCUUACAAAACUACUAAGGGUCUGUUUGAUUCGGGCGGGAAAAGAGUUUACCGGGAAAUAGAUUUACCAUGUGCAAAUAUUCGGGAAAUAAAAUUUUGAUAAAAUAGUUAUAAUUCUACAUUGAUCAUGAAUUUUUUUGGAAAAUCAUUUAAAUAUGUUUGUAGUGAGAGUUCGACAAAAUUGAGCUCUAAUUUGUCCCAACAUUUUAACUUAUCAUGUCAUUUUAAAUAUUUACCGCUUAUUUUCCAUUUAAUCAAACAUGGGAAAUUGAGGUUUCCUGGAAAAUCUAUUUCCCGGACUCGAAUCAAACAGACCCUAAAAGAAUUAUUUAAGGGACUCGUUCGUCAAAUGCAAAACUGAUUUCUUAGGGUGCCAUUGUACUGAACCCCUUGGGCCAAUACUAAAUUAGGCCCAUCAACACAGCUGAGUUUUUUACACACCUGUGACCAAACCCCUCUUAAUUAUGUCAUGCAGACUAAUUAAAUCUCAAGUAUCGCAACAAGUCUGCUAUUUUAUUAUUAUAAUUAUUAUUUUUAAAGAGAUUAUGAUCUGUAUACACAACGCACCUUAUAAAACUAAAACGAAAAAUGCAUAUAUAACUCAAUUACAAAUUUUGUUAUUUUCUGUUUAACCAAAUCCAUUUACUUAUAAACCACUCUUUUGAGUAACAUUGCACCAGUAACAGUAGAUGUGAAUGAAACCCCAAACAUGAGUCAUGGAGGCAAUGGUGCAGCAAAAAUCCAUAUGCUGAUGAAACCGAUUCGGAAACAUUGUUGUGUGACUGUGUGUAUAGAAGUGUGUGUAUAGAAGUGUGGGUAUACUGGGAUCCCACGCACUUGUAUAGUCAAGAGGCUUCACCAUGCAAAACAUAAAGCUUAAGGAUAUUUUGACUUGUCAAUUUCUCCAUUUCAUAUGCCUUCCAAAAAUUAUAUUUCCAAGGUGUAAACCAUGAAAUUCUAAAUUAUCUCUUUUAGAAAGUGAUGAAUAUAGAACCAGCUGACAUGUAUGUGUACUCAUUUCUACAUCAAUUAAACCUUGAUUGUUUUUUUACCAAUGAGAGAGAGAGAGAGAGAGACUAUUUCUAUAGCAUCAACUCAAUUUUCAAUCAUUGUAAACGCAGCUCACUGUCUUUUAUAAUCUUAACUUGCAAGGAAUCUUGAAUUACAGUGUUAAACUCCUUAAAGUGAAUUCCAUAUGCUACGUUUGCUGUGAAAGAACGUGUAAAAUUAAGACUUGUCGAUCCACCCGAAGUUGUAUAGUUUGUGGAUCCAUCUGAAUUUGUAUAAAUUUUAAUUUGCUAUCAACUUUGGUAAACAACUCCCACAAACAAACCCCACAAACUGACGUGUUACGUGAACGUGGCUUUUCCACGUCAUUUUAUUCUCUCCUUUUAUAAGAAAAAAACCCACUUCUCCGAUUCUUCAUUAUUUCUUCAUCCAAACUCCAAAGUUCUCUUCUUCUCAGGCACACCACCGGUUCUAAGAGAAUAAAAAUUUAAUGAUUCUAUAGUAUCUCUUUCUACCCAUUUAUACGUUCAUCCUUUUUGAAGUUUUAGGGAUUUUUUUACAUGUUCCAUGAAAAACUUUCUAAAAAUUCUAAUAAUUAAGUUGUUAGAUUACCCAAUAAUUUAUCAUCAAAUAACACAAGAAUAACAAUAAGUAUAGAUAUCAAUGUUUUUUCAAUUUGUUUGCACCUAUCAUUCUUUACAAGUGAUAGACUUGUGAAUCUAAGAGCAUCUCUAAUGGGUCUCCUAAAACCUAUAAUUUAGGAUUUCCCAAAAAAUGUCGACCCUAACGCGUCUCCUAUAAUUAUAGCAGCCGGCCAUCCACGUAGGACGUGGUGGGCCGGUCUGCUAAAACUUCACCAAAAAUCGAACAAGAGAUAGGAUUAUACCAGACAGCGAAAAUAAAAUGUUCCACGCUGGUUCAACCAGCGUGGAACUUUUUUUUUUUUGGUUCCACGCUGGUCAAACCGGCGUGGAACUUUUUUUUUUUUUUUUUUUUUUUUUUUGUUUCACGCCGGUCUAACCAGCGUGGAACUAUUUCCAACAAAUUUUUAUUGUUCCACGCCAGUUUAACCAGCGUGGAACACCCGUGCAGUCCACCAUCGAAGCCCACCCGUGCGAAGGCCCAAAACCUCCACGCUGGUGAACAGAAACCUAAGGGGAAAUAAAUUCCACGCUGGUUGAAAAAAUUUAGAAAAAAAAAAGUUUUCGCGUUAGGGUUACCCCUGAUAUAGGUAUAGGAGACGUGCAAAAAAAAGUGUUGGGAAAGUAGGUGGCACACGUGUAUGCCAUAUCUGCCUAUGUGUCGGCAAUAUAUGGGAGACCCAUUAGAGAUGCUCUAAGAUGUACAAGACUGAGAACGAUAACUAUAUUGAAUAGAAGCAUAUCUAAAAAUGAAAGAAACCUCAAGAAUUUGAGGAAAAAGGGUUUAAGAUAAAUUAAUGUAUUGAUUUGUACGAUUGAGUUCAAAUUGAAUUAAAGAAGAAGAAGGAAAGAGAGAGAGAAAGAGAUCGGAAAAAAAAAACACUAGAAUGGAAUAGGGAUGAGAGAGAAACACAUCAUUUAUUUUUAUUUUUAUUUUCUGCUGACAUGUCCAUGCCACGUCAGUUUGUGAGAUUAAUUUGUGGGAGUUGUUUGUGGGUGUAGAAUUACUCAAAUUGUAAUGCAUUUUUUACCAAACCGAUUAUCUACCAUUCAUGCAUGUUUACCAAGGUUGACGCAUUCAUGUUUUGUGUGUCUAUGUGUGUGCCCAGUUAUCUACCAAUUAUAAUCAAUUUUAUUAAGAGGGUGUUCUGAAUUGAACGUAAACAUGGGAACCUGAACAUAAUGCAUUUUACAAAUGCAUUAGUUAUGGCAAUAUGAUGGAGAGUCUUUCAUUACAAUUCAAUUAGCUCGGAUUGAAGCUGGGUGCUAUGUAAAGCAAUACUAUGUAUAAAAAUUGAUGGGAAAAGUUAAUGAAAUAACAUAUUAAGCUAUUUUAUCGAUACAAAUGCAUUAGUUAUGGCAAUAUGAUGGAGAGUCUUUGAUUACAAUUCAAUUAGCUCGGAUUGAAGCUGGGUGCUAUGUAAGGCAAUACUAUGUAUAAAAAUUGAUGGAAGAAGUUAAUGAAAUAACAUACUAAGCUAUUUUAUCGAUACAAUGUACCUAUAAUAGAUUUUGAGAGAUGGAGAAAAUGGUUGCACAAUAUGUAGAGGCGCAUAAUUGUGAAUCGUAAAGAUCUAUUUCUCAAGAGCUUGUUUUACACAAUGAGCCAUCAACCUGUAAAAAAACUAUGAGAUAACAUUUUGCCUUUAAGAGUCGUCAAGAAUUGAGUCUUUAUUUCUUAGUAGUUAAUAAUUACAACAUUUAAUUAGGUAAAUCAAAUGCAAACAUCAUUUUUCAGAAAAAGCGUACAUGUAUGUAAACUAACCAUCCUAUCUUGUAUAAUUUUUGAGAAAAGGGAAGUACCUCGUUUUUCCCUAUUAUAUUUUAUAUGACACACUGCUAUACUGACUGAUGCAAUGCAUUUCAAUCAUCUUAAUUUUCUCUUAUAAUAUAUUUUUCGGUGUCUUCAAAAAUUACAAGUAAGAAACUAUAAAGUUGAGCAUUUGCAGCAUACUGGACCACCAAUGUAACAACCCGGAUUUUUCAACUUAUUUAAAAAUUAUGUUUUAUGGAUUUAUUGAAAUUGAAUUCAAAUUUGAGUAAUGUGGAUAUAUGUUUUUUUGAAAAUGGGUAUCCUAUGGAUAACGUGGAGAUUUAAAUGGAUAUGGUGUAUUGGGUAUUUGUCAUCAAAUGUUUAAUGGGCGUAUAUUAUGUUUACAUGGGCUUAUCAAUUAUUGAAAAGGUUAACUAAGAAAUGGGCUUAGUAAUGGACCAAGUAUUUUAGGCACAAAAACCUAGGUUGGCUUUGUUGUUUUUUUUUCAUUCACAAGUUAUCUAGCCGUCAAAUAGUGGAAGGGAAAAGAGAUGGUGGAGAGAAAAGUGGAUUCCUUUAUUUUGCAAUGAGCUGUGUCACAUCAGAGAGAGAGAGAGAGAAAAGGUGAAAAAGGAAGAGAAAAAACAAAAUAAUGAUGAGUAAGAGAAGAAUAAGAAUAAGAACUCAAUGAGAAAUAAAAGUGAGAAAAGAACACGUGAGAGAAAUUGGAAGAGUUUAAUGAGAAGGGAGGGAGAAAGUGGCAGAGAAAUAAAGAGAAGAAUUAAUGGCUUGGGACUUGUGCAGUAAGUAUAAGGUGAGUGAAAUGAAUUGGAAAAUACUUUGUAGGAACCUACUUCCAUCAAAGAAUUGAUGGAACCUUCUUUUGUAUUUUACAUGUGUCCAUAUAUUAAAUGAGUUCUUUGGGAGAAACAACACAUUUAAUGAGUUAGUUUUUAUUUAUUAAAUAAAUUCUUAAACAUACAUUAAAGGGUAGGGUAAUAUCCCAAAAAAGCCCCAUGUUUAGGUGCCUCUUCCUCAAUAGGCCCUGACAUGGGGUCAUCUUCUCAAACAAGCCCCCUGACCCACCACUUUACCUUUUACCAAUUUUUUUGAGACCUUAAUACCCUUUGUACUUUUUCAAAAGCAAAUCUACUUUUUGGAUGUAUUAAACAUAAACUGAUUUGAUUGCGACGUUUCCGACAAAGACUAAUAAUUUAAUCCUAACCGUUGAUUUAACUUGAUACCAAUGAAACACAUUCACCGUUGAUUUAGCUUGAUUUAGCAUUAUCAUCAAACCAAGAUCUUGUAUCCUCUAAAACAAAUUGGUUUUGGUUUUAAAGAUCCAACCAUUGCAUGUGUUGCUGCUCUAAAGGAUUGCCACAUAUUACAUACAAUUUUGAUUUUAAAGUGGCAACAGUAAACGGAUAAAUUCAGUUUCGAAUUUUAAAGUGGAAAAACAACCAAACAGUUGCAACACAUUUGAAACCCUAGCUUCCAUCUUCAUCAAUCUUCGAAAUCAAACAACAAUAACUUCCAUUUUCGAAAUCAACCAACCCCCUUUCGAAAUCAAACUUGUUUCUUAUCAAAUUAGAGGAAAUGGCUGAUGAAAUCAGUUUACAUGAUGAAGAACUUGAAGACAGUAAUUCGGAAGAAGGUGGUACAAGCGAAGUGCAGAUGAAAGAGAAGAAGAAGUAUGGAAGGAACUUCAGUGUAACUGUGAGAUGCUCGAUGAGAAAGGUAAAAACUCAUUUUGUUGAUACUUUACCCGAUUUGGAAAAGAAAAAUUUGAUGAAUUCAUGUUUUAAGUAUUUCUUAGAUGUUCAAUAUGAUAAAAUCCACAUCUGCACUUCUGUUGUCACCCAAGUUGUUAAGUCUAGGGUUUCAAAACUGAAAUAUGUCAUUGGGGAUAGUGAUCUUACAUUUAGACCUUUAGAUAUCACAUUAGUUUUAGGUUUGAAAAUUGGUGAUGUUCCUAGUGAAUUCUUGUUGAUGAAUAGAGAUAUAGUUAGUGCAUUUAGGCAGAAAUAUUUUGGUGAUUCUAAGAGCAUUAAGGAAAAGCACAUAGAAGCAGCAAUUGUAAGAGCAAGAGGUGACCCAGAUUCUGGCGACGACGUUCAUCGCCUGAAUCGGUUGUUAUUAUUGCAUCUUUGUUUACUUCCCGAUUCAGGACAAACUAUUGAUGUCAAAUAUGUUGAUUUUGCCGAAGACCUUGCUGCUUUUGAUAAAUUUCCAUGGGGGUCGGUUGUUUUCAAAUUAUUGAAGAAGUCAUUAGAGAAAUCUGCAAUCAAUGAAUCAGAAAAGAAGCUAGACUAUGCUCUUGAUGGUUGUGUGCUUGGUUUUAUUAUCUGGGCAUACGUACACCUCCCAUGCUUAGGUCCUAAAAGGUUGCCUAAUGCCCCAUUCCCAAGGAUGCUUGCUUGGACAGAUUUACCUGGCAAGACCACUGGCAGGAAUACCAUUGAUAAAAAACUUUAUCCAAAAAGAGGAAAAGAAGUUGAAGUUGUGCCCCCUUUUCAUCACACCAUCGGAGUUUGCUGAAGAACUAGUUCAUGAAGCACAAGAGGUAUGUAAAUUAUCCUCUAAAUUGUUGUCUUUUAAUAAUGUGUUUUAUAACAGUGUUCUUUUAAGUUGCAAUUUUGAUAAUAGGUUUUUUUCCUAUACAAUGUUUUAGUAUCAAAAAACACUUGAUGAAGCUAAAAAGGGAGCUGUUGAUGAUCUAGAAGGGAUUGUGCGAGGAGUGGUAAGUUUGUUUAAAUAGAAAUCCUCCAGUUAUUAAAGUAGUAUCUUCUUAUUGUCUUAUAUAUAUCUGCUAAAUGUGCAUACAUAUCCUCUAAUUGCAGUUUCACAGAGAACUAAGACAAGUCUUAGACAAAGGUGUUACAAAAAGGCUUCAACAGUUUGAAAGGAAUGUUGUUCAAGGAGUGAAAAAAAUGUUGAAACCCUUACAAGUACAAGCUGGAUCAUCAUCUAAGCAAGCUGCCACCAAAACGAAGACACCAUCAUCACAAAAGUUGGGUACCACCAAGAAGAACAAGCCAAUUGCCACUAGGAGUUCAUCUAGGAAGAAAAUUACACCCAAGGAAACAGAAAAAAAGACAAGUGUCAGCAAGGGAGCAGCAAAGAAGGCCGCUCCCACCAAGGAAGCCCCCUCCAAGACAAGUGACAAGAAGAAACCCAUUCCCACCAAGGAAGUACCAACCAGGACAAAGUGCCAGGAAGAAACCCACUCCCACCAAGGAAGUACCAACCAGGACAAGUGUGAAGAAGAAACCCACUCCCACCAAAGAAGUCCCAAAGAACACAAGUGCCACAAAGAAGAUUGUUGGUAGGAUCAAACUCCCACCUAAACAGAAAAAACUGCCACCCCUUGCAGAUCUACCCAAGCCAAGUCCAUCACCCCCACAACUCUCAAGAGCCUCUGUAAAAACAAGGAGCCAAAGCCAAUUUGAAGCUGCUGAUACUGCUACUACUCCAACUACCUUGGGAAAGAGAAAGGGGAAAGAGAUUUGUACUGAACCAUCACCCAAAAAACAAAGGAGUACGAAGUUGCCUGAAAUCAUCAUAUGUGGUAUGAGAAGCAAAGGAACUGAGGAUUUCAUGUUCAAAAUGAGAAGUCCUCAAAAGCCUCAACAACCUGAGCCUGAUGUGGAGCAUCCUGCUAAAGAAGUUGCGAAGAAGAGGAAAAACAAAGAACCCCAGCUUCCAACUAGAAAACAACCUUCAUGGUUAGAUUUUAAACUUACAUCAGACUAUUUGAUUAAAAUCUUCUAGACUUCAAACUUAUAUCCUCUAAUAUGUUCUUUAUUAUCCUCAUAAUAUUUGAUUAAACUCUUCUAGAUUUCAAACUUAUAUCCUCUUUUUUUGUUUUUAAAAACUUAGGGUUAGCAAACAUGUGGCACAAGAUAGGACAUGGUGGAAAGAAGCAAAAGAAAGGGAGAACAGGAAAAACAAGAAAAACAAAAUAGAAUUGAAUCCUGAUACGGAUACGGAGAAUCCAAUAGAAACAACAAGUAGGAGGUUGUUCUGUGAUGGGGAUGAUAAUGAUAAUCAUGAUUGGCAAGAGAGAGAAGGUGUUGCUGUUGAUAGCUUGACAAUGAUAUCAUAUCAUGCUACUAUGGAACCCAUGUUUGUUUUACCAAUCUUAGCUUUGCCACCUCCUGAGGAAGUGUUAGCUUUGCCACCUCCUGAGGAAGUGUUAGCUUUGCCACCUCCUGAAGGUAUAUCCCCUAAUGAUGUUGUACCAGGUAAUGUUGAUGAUAUGGUUAGGCAGGAGGAAGGGGACAUUAAGGUGAAGGAGGAAGAGGACAUUAUAGUUUUGGAGGAAAGUAAAGAUGUGGAGGAGGGGGUGGAUGAGGAUGAUGACUUUCUUGAUGCCAUCCCAGAUCCCAAUAAUAUUCCUGAAGAGUAUCUAGUGGAUAUAGAUGGCUACAAUGUUGGUGAGAUGGAUGAGGAGAGUGAGGCAGAUGAGAUUGAUGAAACAAAUGAUGAUGUAGUCAUUGAAGAUAGCCAAGCUAUUCAAGCUUAUAAAACAAGUCAGAAGAAGUUGAAGAAAAAAGCGAAGGGGUUGGAAGAAAGUAGUGUGGACCACCAAUUGGAUGUUGAUAUUGUUAUGAACAUCAUGGGUAAGUCAUUUCUGGAAAGGACUACCACCAAUAAUGAAUAAGAUGUUCUUAACUAUUUCUGGUGUUUGGCAAAGGAUCCUAAGUAUGAGCCUGCAGUUAUAAAGUAAUAUAAGGAUGCUCCUGAUAUAAUUGUCAAGCAAUUCUACACUUUGUAUAAAAAUAAUUGGCUGCAUGGAGAUAUUGUUGAUGCAUAUGUACUAUUGCUGCAUGAGAUAGUUCAGAAGACAUAUAGAAAGCACAUGAAGGACAAAUCUUUUGCUGCACUUUCACCAUUAGAAAGAAUUAGGAGUAGCAUGUUUAAAGAUGCUCCUGAUAUAAUUGUCAAGCAAUUCUACACUUUGUAUAAAAAUAAUUGGCUGCAUGGAGAUAUUGUUGAUGCAUAUGUACUAUUGCUGCAUGAGAUAGUUCAGAAGACAUAUAGAAAGCACAUGAAGGACAAAUCUUUUGCUGCACUUUCACCAUUAGAAAGAAUUAGGAGUAGCAUGUUUAAAAUACACCAAGGUGCUUUUAACAUUGUUAGCCCAUCUAGGGGUUUGAAAGGUCAAGUUCCUGCAAGACUUGGAAAGGCAUUCCUUGUUCCCUUACAAGUAAGUUGUUAAUUAUGUUUACAUAUGUGAUCUCACAUCAUCAAAAGCUUAUUAUCCUCUAAGUUAUGUUUUCCAAUCCUCAAAAGACUUAUGUUGUAUCCUCUAAUAUAUAGGUUAACAACAAUCACUGGAUACUGCUUGCCUUUAACUUUAGGGAGUGGAAGGUCAAGAUAUAUGACUCUUUGGGUUAUAAGAAACCAUCUUCACAACAGUUGGGGGUCGAGGAGAUGUUGCCCUAUGUGGUGUUUGCUGCUGACCCUACUGAAGAAGACAUUGACCUUGAAAGAGCAUGGGAACGUGAAUAUGUUAAUUGUACACCUCAGGAUGAUGGCUGCAGUUGUGGAGUCUUUUUACUUGCAUAUCUUGACUGUGUUCUCAGAGGUGAGCCACCAUUAUUUGAGAGGAUAGCAACUCUGAUGAGAAAGCGCAUUGCCAUGGACCUUGUUGAAUGUGGAUUCAAACCAAACAAGAAGUAGAUCUUUUAUUUUGUUGGAUGUAUUCUGUUAAACUUGUUUAUUUCGUUGUUGGAAAGUUGUAAAACAUCAUGACUUGUUUUGAACAUAUUUAAUGUGUCUUGUGUUGAACAUGUUUAUGUUGUUGCAAACAUGUCUGAGGUUAAUAUAUUAGCUUUUGGAGUUAGAUGCAGUUUCUCUUUAAUUUGGUAGGAUAGCUAUGUUUGCCUUUGAUGCAGUUAGUUAGAGGAUACCGAAACUAUAUUUUAGAGGAUACAGUAUAUGUCAUUUAGAGGAUACAAACUAUAUAUUUUAGAGGAUAGACAGAUAAUGUGAAAUGGUACCCUUUGAGAGAUGCACUUAAUGAACACGUUACAACAACCUAAAAAACACGUUACAACAACCUAAAAUACUAAUAAUCUAAAGUUAUCAACACUUUAGUACUUAAUAAAAAUCCAUUCAAAGGUUAUCAUCUUAGAUCUUAAGCCAAAAUAUACUAUGUCUAUUUCGAAGAUAACAUCAACACAUUAAGAGGAUAUCUAGUAUUGUUCUGACGGAUACAAAAGGGACAAAAUACAAUUCAGCUCACAAAAAUAAUUGUUAACACACUUAACAUUAGGGUGGUGGUCCUUCUCCAGGUAAAGGUUGAAAGAAAUAGUCAUAGUCUGGUAUGACUUCAAUACAUGUUGACUUGUUGUGUCCUGGAGCUUUACACCUUGAGCAUCUUCUAAGUUGAACUGGGACACCUUCAAGUUUGCCUCUUUUUCUCUUUUUCUUCGGACGACCUGCCUGUUUAAAAGGUAGUGGUGGAAGAAUCCUUCUUGAUGCUCUGUCCUGCGGCCAUUCAUCCUUGCCUCUUGUGGGUCUCCAUUGUUCUUUGUAUGUCUCUGCAUAUGUUUCCUUUUUGUAGUAGACAACACAAAAAGCAUAUGGAUCACUUUUGGUUUCUCUAAUCACAGACAUUGCAUGCUCACAAGGUAUUCCCAUUGCUUCCCACCAUUUGCAAGUACAAGAUCGCGUGUUCAAGAUGAUCAUCAUCAGGAGGGAACAUUGGUUGGGAAUCAUCAUACAUCUGAUCUUCCAAUACUUCCAUAUCAUGCCUAAGAACUGAAUUUGGUGUAUCAUCAGUUAUUUGAUCUUCAAGUCCAUCUUCUGUGGUCGAUAUCACUGGUGAAUCAUGCACUUCCACAUCAGAAUCAUACUGAGUUGCAUCGCUAUCCUCUUCUAUUGAACACCCUUCAUCAUCUUCAUUUGUUGGUUGGCCUUCACCUUGAGCUGCACAUUGAUCUUUUAGUUGUGUUUGUAUUCCACCAUAUUCUUCAAGUUCAUGGGAGAAUCCAUCAUUGUUAUACAUUUGUGGAAGAAUUUCUGCUGCUGCAUCAAUGUUAGAGGAUCCGGACUGCAUAUUUGCGGAUGAGCUAGGCGAUUUAGAGGAUAUUGGCUCAGGUCUGUAGACAUUAUUAACUGCAAAUCGUAUAACAUUUUCCAAGGGAGUUUGAUAAUCUCCUGGGUCGAUUGCAGGACCAGAAGGGGGAGUUUCUAACACAACAAAACUAUAAGUCCCAGGUGGGGUAUCCAAAACUAAAGGAUGUUGCUCAUUACCACCCCCUUUUGGAAAAAUAACAUGGUUCUUCUUCUGUGCUGAUGCAGGGUCUAUCAAAUAUUUGAAAGGAACAUUACCUUGCUUUUUAGGUGUGCAAAAAUCUGAAUAAUCAGGUUGAUUACCCCAACUGGUUGGAGAAAAAUCAUCUGGAAAAAGCUUUCUUCUCAAUGCAGCUUUUCCUUUCCCUUUCUCAUCUACUUUCUCUUUUUCUUUCCCCUUAUUUUUUAUUGUCAAAGUUGCUUCCCCAUUCACUGGUUAUAAAUCUCCUAGUAUCCAAACACACAUGACAUAUAAAUUCUUCGCAUUUAUAAUUGCCAUCACCAAUUGAUCAUAAUCAUCUUCACAUUGGAUGCUGAUUGGAGACUCAUUCACAACACAUUGAAUUGAAAAUUUGUCUCUCUUUACAUUGAUGAUACCUUCAACCAUCUCCAUAAAUUCUUUAUACGGCAUUUUCAGGUCACAAACUGUUAUUUUUGUGUCUCCAUUCUUAUAUGAAGACAAUCCAUCUGCAUUAAUCUCCAACUCACCACCAAAUCGAAACACAACAUUGAUUGUUCUACCUGAAACAAUAAGGGUAUAUCCUCUAAUCAGUAAAAUAAGUUGUAGUGUAUCCUCUAAAAAAAUAUAAAAUUUAAACUGUGACAUAUGGAUCUCUGCUGUUUCAUACCACCACAACAAUAGUGAAAGAUACCAUUUUUAUGAUGAGAAAUAUACCAUCUUAAUGACUUCAAAGUUCAAAGAUACCAUCUUUAUGAUGAGAAAGAUACCAUCUUAAUGGCUUCAAAGAUACCAUCUUUAUGAUCAUAAAGAUUCUGUCUUUAUGAUUAAUGGUGUUAUCUUUAAGGAUGUCGUCUUUAUGGUGAGAAAAAUACUAUCUUUAUGUGAUUAAACCUUAAAAUCCUAAAAAUACCUACUACAUUACCUGAUUUCUUGUUGAUCAUAAAGAUUUGCUCAUCCACCGCUUUUGAUUUCCCUUUUUUCUUUGUCAUCUUGGUUGUAAAACAAUGGGUUGGUUAAAGAAGAUGAAGAUUGUUAAGGUUUCAGAGAGAAUAAGAUGUUUGGGACGAUGAAGAUGGUUCAGACGUCAGACCAUCACAGUUGUUUACUUGUUUUAUGCAGAUUUGAUGGUUGCAUAUGUUAUGUUUAGAGGAUAAAGCAUUGUUCAUUAUCAUACACGUGUCACAGAUUAAUCCAACGAUUAGAAAUAGCUUUGUAGUCAUUGUCGCAGUCACUGAAACUGACUAAAAGUCUGAUUCGAUGUAGACGGUAUCACUGUUGUACUUGAGGGGUAUUAAUCUCAAAAAAAUUGGUAAAAGGUAAAGUGGUGGGUCAGGGGGCUUGUUUGAGAAGAUGACCCCAUGUCAGGGCCUAUUGAGGAAGAGGCACCUAAACAUGGGGCUUUUUUGGGAUAUUACCCUACAUUAAAUAAGAACUUUUUUUUUGUUGAACAUUAAAUGAGAGAACUAAGAUAAGUUUUAUUCACUUUUUUGUAAAAAUAAAGAAUUUAAAUAUUUUAGAUAAAUUUUGUUUUGUUAAAAAUCAAAAAUUAUCUCAAAUUAGUGAUAAAAUAUUAAAACUAGUAAACAACCACAAUCAACAAAAUAUCAAAAAAAUAAUUUUUUUUUUUUAAUUUUAUGAUAAUCAAAAUUUUUUAAUAUGUUUUAAUUUUUUUUGUGGGACCAAAAAAUUAUCACAUGUCUCUAAAAUUAUUAACAAAAACUUGUUCUAUGUCCCUCUAGGGUUAAUAACACCCCCAUAUGUGUAGGUUUUUUAGAAAUCAAAUAUGAGACAUAAAUCUUUUUUAUAAAUUUUUUUUAUUAAAAAUAAUGUUGGGUUUCACAAAUUUGUUUAAGGAGUUAAUUAUUUAAUGCAUUUAAUGUACAAAUAGUUGAAAAUCAACUCAUUUAAUGUGUGUUUUGCUUUCUCCCAAAAAAAUCAUGUAAUGUAUUUAAUACAUGGACACAUGUAAAACACCUAAGAAGGUUCUAUCAAUCCUUUGAUAGAAGUAGGUUCCUUCAAAGUAUGCUCGAAUGAAGCUCACAGUUUGUUAAAGUUUAUGUUUUACUCCAAAAAUGAUACUGUGGUAGUAAUCAUCAAGCAUGUUAUUUAUUUGAUUUUUAAUUCUUAUGUGCUCAAAGUGUACUUAUGUUUAUUUAUAUAUUUUACCAAUAUUAAAUAAAUGCUAAUAGUUGAUUAUGCAUUAUUGAAUGGCUAAUAUCAAAUUGCUGGAACUUAUCUCACUUAUUACCUUACAGUACAUUCAAUUAAUUGUUUUGCUUAUUUUGAUGAACUAAUAAUCUUUUAAAGUGGGUGGAUACAUCUGUCAGUACCUAGUGGGUGGGUAAUAUGGUUAUGGAGUGUUUUAAUGCCAUAGUUAAUCAAUUGUAAGUUGAUUGUCUUGAUUAAUUUAUUGUGGGUUGGACGAACUGUUGGACUUCCUAUAAAUGAUAAUGAUGUAUAUGUUGUGCACAAUUUUGUUAUAUUUCCAUCUCGCUCAAUUAAUACAUGAUGAUUUCCUUGGUUUGGUUUGAUGCGAGAAUAAAAAUGCUGAAGGCUUGACUCGUUGAUGCUAAUUAAUUUAAUGGCUAUGUGCCGAGUGUAAUGGCUGUGUGCCAUGUGUAUUGGUUGUGUGCCAUGUGUAAGUGGUUGUGUGUCGAAGAGCCAAAACGUCAAUGUAACUGUUGUGUGCUAACAAAACGAAAUAAAUGACUAAUAAUAAAUUCCCUAGUUGCCACACAAUUUUGUUUUGAAUCUGGAUUCAGUUCUAAGUUAAGUAUCUGUGUGAUACAAUGGAUUUGUCUGUGUGACAUGAGUAUUUUGGGUACUGUGUGAGCCCAAUAGAAUUGAUUAUAUUGGGGUACUGUGUGAGCCCAAGCACCUUUCGCUCGGUGCCAUUGUUAUUUGCGCGCGGGUGUAUAAGUUUCACCUUUCCUUUCUGUGUGAUCGAAAGUGGUUGUGAGUUUAUACACGGAGGCAUAGUAGUGUUGUAGACAUGCCAAUUGUGUGUGUGGCUAGGGUGCAAACUAAAUUAACUAACAAAUAUUAAUAAUUAAUGAACAGACAAAAUAUGACAUCAAAACACAAUCACUUGAAGUGGUUCUAACGGUUAUAACUCUGUGAUGGUUUGUUUGUUUUCUCUGGGAUGGUUGUCUGCUCAGUGGUUAUAUGGAAGUUAAUGGUUGAUAGUUGUUCAUUGAUUGUGGAUAUUAUUGGCGGUAGUUUUAUUUCAUUGCUUAUUAUUAGUUCAAUUAAUCUCCGUUGCAGGUGGUAGGUCACAUUAAUUUUUACUGCAAGGUUUGACCUACCAAAGUUACACUCGCAAGUAGUAAGUUGGUAAGUUGCUUUAAAUUAUAUUAAUUGUAAUGCAUGCUUAGUUAGUUGUCUUAACUGUGGACCGUUGAUUGUUUUGGUGAGCUCUCCUUUUAUAAGAGACACUCACACCAACAUAUUCGAAAUACUGACCCCUCGUUGUUUCUUUUGCAACUUGGGGUACGUCUCAGUCGGGCGUAGAGGAGGAGCACUGGAUUAGAGAUGAUGAUACUCGAGCUAGAGUGAAGUUUUGGAAAUGAGGUAAUUAAUAUGAUUGAAGUUUUAUUAUUGACCAUUUGUAGUCUAUUGCUUUGAAUGAUUUGCAUGUCUGGGUCUCUGUGGGACCGACCCGCUCACACUCUGGCUUUUGGUUUAUGAAUAUUUGUUAUUUAUUUAGCGAAUAUUUAUUUAUCAAAAAUCAAGGUGUGACAACCAAUACAGUGUAUAGGUGGGGUACAAAAAACAUAACAUAUUUAUAUACGAUAUGUUCAUCCAUUGAAAUACAUAGACGAUGACCUUUCUUGUUUUCUAAUUCUAUUGAUGUUUAAUUGGACAUAAAAAUAUCCAAAAAGUAUAAAUGGAGACAAACACUGAAAGGUGAAUUUAUUUUCUGGAUGGUUUGUACCUUAUGUUCCAAGAUCGCUUAGUUGGUUUAUGACAUUAUUCCACAUUCAUUAAUGGGCAUAUUUGUAGCUCUACUAUUGGAAAAAUAGUUGAAGCAAAAUUGGACUAAAGCAACGCUAAUUGUGCGCAAUCAACACGGUUAGUACUUAUUUGGAGAACCAACAUAAUAUUGUGUUUCGGUGAGUGCAGAAUCAUCGAAUACCCUCUUCAGAGUAUUAAACUAUGUGCCUUAACAUUAUAUUAUGUCAUUAAAAUACCCUAAAUUAGUAAACUGAAUACCACAGCAGGCAAGGUAUUAUGUUGGGUAAUUUCCCGAAUAAGCAUAGGUUUAUCACCUUUCUUCCCAAAUCAGCACAUUUGACUGCAAUCUUCCCCAACAAGCACAUUUCUCGGUUUGACUUGCUGAAUUUUUGUCUUUUAGCAUAUUUUGUUUCCUAUUAUACCCUUUAGCCUAUAAUCAUUUCUUUUAAUAGGUUUUCAAUAGGUUUUUAGUAGAUGUGACAUCUGAGAUAAUGACAUGACAGUAGAUUACAACCAUUGGAUCAUGAUAAUAAAUUACAAGUGUUGGAUAUAAUUUGCUAAUUCCUAUCCUCCACAAGUAGUGUUAUUUCCUCUACAAUUUGUAAUUUUAAACAAGCAUCUGCUACAGUAAACAACAGCCACUCAGCGCCACGUGUCAUUAACCGUUGGGUUUUAAUUGGGCGGGAAAAUCGAGCGGGAACAGGUAGAGUGAUACUUAACCUAGGGUUUUCACACCGAUUCAGAAUCCACAACCACCCACUCUCUCUUCUUCUUAAACCGAUUCUUCUUCCAUUAAACUGCUCAUAACUCUUCUAAUUUCUUUCCCAUCUUCCAUUUCUACACAAUCAUCUUCUAAUUUCUACACAAUCAUCUUCUAAUUUUCCAUCUUCCAUUCUAAUUUCUACAUAAUCAUGCCGAAGAAAAAGAUUGAAGGCGAUGAAGUCAGUAGAAAAUUUAGCAUCACUAUGAGAUGCUCACCAUCUAAGUUUGAAGCCCACUAUCUAAACCCAAACGAAAAAUUGCCCCCCAAUGAGUUAGAAUCUUUUAAAAAUUCCCCUUUUGGGCAGUUUUUGAGUUUGGAGGGACAAGAAAAAAUCGCCAUGAUAACUUCGGUAGUUACAGAAAUUGUUUCAAAUAGGGUUGGUCGACUGAAGUAUUCAAUUGGGGUAGAGUGAUUGAGUUCAAAAUGACAGAUCUUGCUUUGAUUUUGGGGCCUUUGAAAUUUGGGCAUUUAGCUGUUGAUUUUGUUGUUAGGAAGCAAACUGAAUAUAGUGCUUUCAGAUCGAAAUACUUCCAGAAUAACCUACACAUCAGAGAUUCUCAUAUCCUUGAUGCAAUUAAGGAAGCAAGAGAAGCCGAAGAUGCUAAUCCAGAUGAUGUCAAUAGGUUGAACAGGUUGUAUUUUCUUGCAAUUUUUCUGCUUGCUGACUCAUCCAAAACAAUUGAUGUAAGGUAUGUCGAUCUUGCUGAAAAUUUGGUAGAUUUUGAUGAUUUUCCAUGGGGUACUGCUGCAUUCAAAUUGCUUGAGAGCAAUUUAGAAGAUGUGUAUACAAAAAUUGUUGAUGGUGUACAAAACUAUUGUAUCAAUGGAUGUGUGUUUGCAUUCAUUAUUUGGGCAUAUUUGCAUCUCCCAGAUCUUGGUCGCAGAAAGAUUCCCAACUCUCCUUUUCCAAGGAUGUUAGGAUGGUAUGAUUUGCCCACUAGGAACAAAUCAAGGGACAAACUUUCUGAGAAAUUUCACCCCAAGAAAGGCUUCAUUAAUGUGGCCUAUCCACUGGAUAUCACUCUGCAAGAAAGAGCUGCAGCAAAUUUACAAGUGGUUGAAGAAGUAAGUCAUCUUUAUGUUGCUGUAUUUUCAAUAUCCCCUACUUUGUUUUCUUUAUCCUCUACAGAUAUAUACUUAUCUGUUACAUGUUAAUUCCAGUUUCAGGCUCUUUCACAAGCAGAAUAUGAAGAGUCUGCUUCUUCAAGGCCAGUUUCUAGAUUAGUUCGUCCAUCUCAGCAAUCAUCUGCAACAACAAGUUCUGGAAAUUUUAUUACACUUGAAAGAAAUGCUCUUGAGGCAAUUCUCAAAGGAGUCUUUGAAAUGGUAUGUUGUUACUACUACUUUGAAAUUCUAUCUGAAACCAUGAAUAACUAAUCUUCUUUAUAGGUUUCUUACUUAUUACAUUGAAUACAUAUAUUCUAAAACCUCUAGUUGACCAUUAUUAAUAUGUUUUGGUAUAUCGUCUAUAUUGACGAUAUACAGUUCUAUCCGUUACCUUGUUUCUGUAUACUCUUUAUAAUUUGUUAACAUAAUAUACUCUUUAAACUUUACAUGUUGUUGAAUUUGAAUGAAGUCAUAUACAAAAACUUUAAACCUUGAAAUGUUGAAACCUUGAAACCUCUAUAAUUUGAAUGUUAACAUAAUAUAUCCUUUAAAUAUUUGAAUGAUGUUUUCUAUAAUGUUGGGUUUAUCCUCUACAAUCUUAUUGCAUAAUUUUUGAAGGGUCGUGAGGCAGGGAUGGUUUCUGACAAAAUCAGUGAUGCUGAUGUGGCUGUUAAAGGUGUGUUUGCACAGAUUGGUAAGGGGGCAUCAAAGAAGACAAGUAAAAGUAAGAAGAAGAUAAGUUCCCCCUCAAAGCCAACUCUCAAACCCAAAUCAGUCAAAAAGACCAAUCCUUUGCCAAGUCCUCCAAAAAGGGCAACCAGAUCAAGUACUGCAUCCCAAGUUUCACCAACAGUUUCAACAAGGAAACAAACAAUUCCAUCCAAGAAAAACAAUGUUUCACCCAAGAAACCCAUUGUACCAACCAAGAAAGUUAGUGCUCUACCCAAACCUAUUGGGAGGGUGAAGAUACCUCCCAAGCAGAAACCCCCUCAAGCCACAACAGUGAGUGAUUCCCCACAGCCCAAAAUUAUUGAUUAUAAGAAGAUGGAGGAAGAGCCUAUACCAGCACAGACAACAGUUAGAACCACCAGGAGUAAAAGCUCUUUGUCUUUUAAUUAUGAGGUAAAAAGAAGGGAACCUCAACCACCAAAAUCUGAAGGGGAUAAGGGGAUAAAGAGGAAAAGAUCAGAGGAGGGGGAGAAGGAUAACAAGAAGAAGAAGAAAAAUUCAAAGAAGGGGGAAUCUGAAGAAGUGGAGAAGCGUAAAAAGAAGAUGUCCAUUGUGGAUAUGGGGAAGCAGGAUGAAGAUAAGGCAGCUCCACAGAAUGAUCAAAUAGAAGAGGGUAAAAAUACAGUAGGGGGGAGUGAUGAUGACAUGUUACCAUUAGACCGACAUUUUCCCGUGUUUGAUUUUAAUGUUGAAGAACAAAAUGACCAACAGGCUGGAGAGAAACAGAUAGAGAAAGAAGAGAAAAAAAGGAAGAGAGCAGAGAUGUUGUUUCCUAUUAUAAGGUAUCAACCUAAAAGGAAGGUUAAAGGUGAUGCCUUUGAUCUUAGUUGGAGGAAAGAAUUAAGAAAGAGAAGGGAGGCAAAGAAGCUGAAGGAAAAAAAGUCAAGGAAGAUACAGUCAGAUGAUGAUGAAGUCCCCAGCAGUAAGAAAGUAAGAAAGUUGUCUUUCUGGAGUGAUGAUCAUGAAUCAGAUGACCAGGGGUCCAUUGUGGAUGUAUUGAAUAACCUGAGAGGUGUACCUGAUCCUCUUGCCAAGGCAAUGUCAAAACUCCAAGGUCUUUCUGUACUGAUGGGCGAGAAAGCUGAAGUGAAUGAAGAAGGUAAACCUAAUGAUUCAAGUACAAAGGAUGGCGAUCCUUCUGUAUCCGCUACAGAAGAUACAUUGUCUGCUAGAAAGGAGGAUCCAUCCGCUACAACGACAAAGGUAACAACAGAGGAAACCGAAACGGCUACAACUGAGGUUUCAUCCGCUACAUUGUCUGGUUCGAAGGCUAAAAGCAUUGAGGCAUCGUCUACAACUGUUGAAUCUGGGGAUAGUGAAGAAGAUGAUGAUGAUAAGCAGGAUGAUGAUACUGAUGAUGAUAAAAAAGAUGAUGGUAAGGAGGAGGAUGAUAAGCAGGAUGAUGAUGAAAAAGAUGAUGGUAGGGAGGAUGAUGAUAAGAAGAACGAUGAUAAGAAUGAUGAUGGGGAUGAUGAUAAAACUGUAGGGGAUGAUGAUGACAAUGGUGGAUGUGAUCAUCAUACUGAUGUGGUGGUUAAUAGAGAAGAUGUACCUCAACAGUAUAGACUUGAAACACCUACUGCAUCAGAUAUUCAGGAGUCAUCAGGCAGGAAGAGUGUUCUCAUUCUUGGUGUAAGUGAAUCUGAUGAUGAUGAGAAGGAUACAAAAUUUGACCUGCAAGCAUUAAGAGUGGCAAAGAGGAAAAGGGAAGCCAAAACUUAUCAAAACAUGGAAGCUGAAGAAAAAUCUUUGGGCCUUAGGUGUAAUGCAAGGAUGUCAGAGAUAAUGAAAGAACCAUUCUUCAGUAGACAAGUGGAAGAGGAUGAUACAAAACUUUGUCACUACUUUUGGAGUUUGGCUUCUGACCCAAAGUGGAGUAGAGUCCCCAUGAGAAGUUAUGGUUUUCUGGCUUCAUGCUCAGUGAGUGCCUACAACACACUCUACAAAGGUAAUAGGCUUAAUGAUGAGAUUAUUGACAUCUAUCUCAGGCUGCUCAUUCGUUGGUAUGGUACCAUGAGGCCAUAUUACUUUAGGGAUGAAGAUCAAUAUGCUAUUGUUUCAACAGUAUAUCUACAUGUAAGUACCUUGUUCCCUUAUUCUACCUAGUAAUUAUAACCUUCAAUUCUGAGCUGUUUGAAGAAUUAUUUUUCCUUUUUGUAGACCAAAAUCAAGUGUGAUGUGAUGCCUGAAUACGACAAACUGAUGAAAGAUAAGAGUUUUGCCAAAAUGAAUCCUCAGGAAAGAGUGACAUCUGGGCGUUUCCAAAUUUCAUCAGGCUGUAGUUCAAUUGUUGAUCCAUGGGAGGUCUCAAAAAUCAAGUUCACCCUGUGAAAGCAAAGGCAUUUCUCAUCCCAUUACAGGUAUAUUUCAUACUUUCCUCCACUACCUCUACAUGUCAUAAUUUAUCCUCUAUUUUAUUAUUUCUAUUUGCCACUAUUGAUAUGUAUAUAUGUGUUAUUUGUAGGUGAAUGAUAACCACUGGAUUCUGCUUUCUUUCAAUUUUAGUGAGAAAAUUGUUAGAAUCUAUGAUUCAUUGGGAAUGACAAGGGGUAUACCUGAAUUGAGAAACAUGGAAAAGUUUUUGCCAUAUGUUGUUUUUGCUGCUGAUCCAUCACAGGUUCAACUCAAACUGGAUAUGAAGUGGAAGCGUGAGUAUGUUAAGUGUGCUGAACAACCAGAUGGUUGUAGCUGUGGAUUAUUCCUCCUUGCCUUCGUCGAAUGCGUGCUUCGAGGAAUACCACCUCAGUUCGAUGCAGAUCCUCUUCAGAUGCGCUAUCGUAUUGCCAGAGACCUAAUUGAUAUAGGGGAAUCUCCCUCUUCCAAAAACAAGAGCAACGUUUAGUUAUUUGUUGUUUGUAUUGUAUGCUAUACAUUUUAUUUGGUUGUUUGAAGACAUGUUUAUAUGGUUGUUUAUGAACCCAAUGUUUUUUAUGUGGUUGUUUAUGAAUCUAUGUUCAUGGUUGUGAAUGAUACAUUCUGUUCUUAUUUGGUUGUUUGUGAACCUAUAUUGUUCCUGUUCUUUAUGUUUGAAUUGUAGAGGAUACACAAAUAUAUGGUAGCCGUUAGGUAGUACAAACAUAGAGGACAGCACUGCAAUGCACAGUAGACAAUCUAUGCAAAAAAACUAACAACCAAAUAAGGUAACACUCAAGUGUCACUGAUAAAACAUACGAUAACAGGCUAUAUGUAGAGAAUAUAAUAUAAACAUGUAUGUGGAAGAUACAUUCCCCAAAAAUUACAAAACCCAUUCCAGUACUUAGAUUGUAGCUGGAACAGGGCUUAGUGGUGGCCCUUCACCAAAUAGGGUGUGACUGAAGAGUUGAUAGUCAUCUACACAUUCAAGACAAGUUGAUUUGUUAUGACCUCUGACUCUACACAUUGAACAUCGCCUACUCUGGACAGGGACACCCUCAGCUUUACCUCUCUUCCUGGCUGUUUUAGGACGCCCUGCCUUUGAAGUUUUUAGUGGUGGAAGAAUUCUUCUUCUUUGUCUGUCGGUUGGCCAUUCUUCCUUCCCUCUUGUGGGUGUCCAUUCUUCUCUAUAAGUUUCUAUGUAUGUUUCCUUCAAGUAGUACACCUUAACAAAUUUGUAUGGAUCAAAUCCAACUUCCUUUAUAGCUGCCAUGGCAUGCUCACAUGGUAUCCCCAUGGUUUGAAACCAUUUGCAUGUACAUGUUCUUUUGUUGAGGUCAACCACACAUGAUCUUUUAACCCCUCUAACAGACCAAAUACCUGCUGAAGCUCUUUCAAGUGUGCACUUUCUUGCAACUGCAGCAUUGUGCACUAUUUGCUCUUGACACCAUGUUAUGACAGGUGAAUUGAACUUCAAAGAAUCAUUGCGAUAAUCUCGAUAAUGCCUAAUUACAUUAUCUCGUAUCAUUGAAACAAUGGUAGUAACUGGCAUCAUUCUUUCUCCAAUGAUCAUUUUUUUCCAGCUCUCCACAUGAUUUGUUGUCACAAUUCCAUAUCUGCAAAAUCAAUGUAAAGGAUAGAAACCUUAUAGUACCGGAUAGGAUUUGUAUUAUAGCGUACACAGAAAUAUGUUAGCAAACUUACCUGGAUUUCUCUUGGAAAGCACUUGCCCACUUUUCUAAAGGCCCAACAUCCAUAAGUUUUUCAUGUGCUUUGAAGGAUAGGACCCAUAUUCCUAGCAUAUUUCCCCAAAAUUCUUGUUGGUUGAGGGUUUUUGUUGAUUCUUGCACCAAGAACUUGAUUUUCUUGUGACCAAACUUGCCACUCAUGUGAUAGGAACAGUACAUAUGGACAGCAUUUGGCAGAAUUUUAGGAACACCUUGGAUGAUGCUUUUGUGUCUAUCAGAUAACAAAAUGAACUGGUGAUCUACACCAACCACAUGGUCCCUUAGUUUGGUAAAAAACCAAUCCCAAGAAUCAUUUUUCUCUUUCAUUACAACUGCGAAAGCGAGGGGGAACACAUGGUUGUUGCCAUCGACUGCAAUAGCACUUAGAAUUGUUCCAGGGUACCUCCCUUUAAGGAAAGUUCCAUCAACAAUGACUACAGGACGCAAGUUCUUCUUGUAGACCCUAACUGAUAUACCAUAUGUCCAAAAGAAACAUUUAAAACGAUCACCUGGUCCAGUUAGAAUAUCAGUCACAGCAUCUGGAUCAACACUCAUGAGCUCAUGACUAUAUGUCUCAAGCAACUGAUAUGAGUAGAUGUAGCUUCCUCUUAUCUGCAACAAAGAAUAGAUGUGAAAAACUAUACUCUACACAGAAAACAAUCUAGCCGAUACUAGUGCCUAUGGUAGCGACUACAGAAACAAAGUAGAAGAUGCUAUACCAAUAGGCGGAUAACAUAGAGAAUACCUUCAUCAGUGCUUUCUCUUUAGCAAACCAUGCAACUUUGUAUGAAACUGUGGUCUCAUAGUCUUCCUUGACCAUCUUUACAAGUGCUUUAGGCUUUAAGUUUGGGUUAUCCCUUAACUUUCUCAUUAAUACUCUAGAAACCCAAUCACUAUUUGCUUGGGGAUUUGUUCCUCCAACUCUAAAAUUACCACAAGAGUGGUCAUCAUUCAUUCUACAAAUCUUCCAAGUGUUAUCCAUAUUUCGUGUUGCGUAGACUCUCCAUGGACAACCAUCUGCUUUACAUUUCCAAAUCAACCUUUUUGUGUUGGUGUUUUGCCUGCGUAUAUCUUUUUCAGUCUUAAUCGCGUAGGUUUGGAGGUCCCUUUCAAGAUCAUCUCGACUUAAAUAUACUAUUCCACAUGCAGGUCUAACAUAAUCAUUGUGAGAAGGCUCUGUAUGGGGAGCACAACCAACAUUUACCCUAGAUUUUGCAAUGUACGCAGAAAAGAUUUUGUCUAAUUCACGUUUCACUUCAUCGUUAUCGCGGUUUUCCGUAACUCUUACAUUCUUCUGGAGUGGCACAUUGUUGGGAAAUGGUACAUCUGUAUCAGGAGGUACAGUGGUCGGAGCUGGAGGGUUGUCUUGAAGUGGCACAGUGGUAGGAGUUGGAGGGUUGUCUUGUAGCGGCGCAGUGUUAUGUUGUGGUUGAUUGUUGACGUAAUCCCCUACUCGAGCGAAACGAUCCUCUAGAUUGCACCGUAUAUCCGCUGCAUUAGCAUUUCUAUCCGUUACCACAUCUUCGCUAUGCACGGUUUCUUGUGUCGAUAGAUCACCGAACAUUGGGUAGCUGUCAUUGUACAUUUCAUCCUCAAAUUCUUGAUCUUGGGUGUCAAGAAUUGGUGUUUUCAUCUCACCAAUGCCUUCAGAUGAAGAUUGGAUGACACCAUCAUCUUCAUUAUGAGAUGGAGGAGGUGGUGUAGGACCAAACAUUGGCUGGCUGUCAGUAUACAUCUCAGAUUCAAACACAUCUUCAAGUCUAUCGAAUGAAUUAUAAGAGUAAUCACUAUUUGAGUCGAACACAUCCUCUUCUGUAUCCCAUUGGCCUUCCUCACAUUCACCCUCAUUGUCAUCAUCCAGUACUUCUUCUUGGCUUCUCUGUAUCUCUGGAUCUAAUCUUUCUUCUACACUUUCCAAUUCAUCUGAAUCCCUAAAACCAUUAUCCCUACGCAUAUCAGAUAGAAUCCCUGCUAUGUCUUCAAGAUUAUCAAAUCUAGCCGAUUUUGGUACACAUAUAGGCGAUCCAGUUGCUGUUCUAGCCGAUAAGGGAGUCAAGUUAAUUGGAGGUUGAGGAAUGUAAACAUCAUCUCUCACUUGAACAUUAGGGGGAGGGGUUUCCAAGAAUAAAGGGUCAUUUGAGUGCCCCUUUCCCUUUACAGUCACUUCUGGGUCUUGAGAAGGAGUUUCCAAUCUAUAUUCAUCAGGAACAUGGAAAGGUUUUGUUGGUGUACAAAAAGAAGAGUAGUCUGGUUUCCUACCCAAGCCUAGAUUAUUGACAACAGGUUCAGGGAAAAGUUUUCUCUUCAAAGAUUGACUAGUUUUGGGAUUGACAACAGGUUCAGGGAAAAGUUUUCUCUUCAAAGAUUGACUAGUUUUGGAAUCCCCCUUGGGCAGCUCUCUUGGUAUCUCACUCACCUGGCUUGAGGCUUCAUUAGUCUCUGACUGUAUCAUAACUGGUGUUAAAUGAUCAACCACCCAAAUAGAAAUCACCAUUGCAGCUGAAUUUGUAAUGUAUGCAAUCAUUGCCAUGUAAUGAUCUUCGCAUUCAAUCUUAGUUGGAUUAUUGUUGAUUACAGCUCGCAAUGACCAAGUUGUUCUUGGUGCCUUACAUAAGGAUUCAACCAAUUCCAAGAAGUCUCCGUAGGAUGUCUUGUUAUUAGCGAUCCUUAUUUUUGACUCACCAUGUACAUAUGCAAUCUCAACUUCUUCAACUGUAACAACCAAUUGCCCACCAUAUUGGAAUAUGAUAUUAAAUGUGUUCUCUGCAUAACAUCAAUUAAAAUGGGUUUAAUAUCACAUCUCUAUAAACGAGUGUACUGAAGGUUUCGGCUACAAUAUCAGUAUUAACGGUUACAUAUGACAGUUUAUCGUCUAGAAAUUUAAGAAUGUAUGUUAAAGUGAUAAUCAGUACCACAUGAUAAACCCACUUUUAGAUCUUCUAAUCAUUAGAUAAAAAACUUCAAAACCCCCCAUAAAAACAGAGACAAAGAGCAAUACACGGUAGACACUAGUGAUUUAAAGCUUGAAAACAACAUACUAGAAACCCAUAAACCAAAUUCUGAGGUUUUCAUACCCCCAACCCAACAAUCAACUAGAGUUGAAACCCCACCCACAAUUGAAUGCUUGCAUUUAAGCUGGUGGGUGUGUGUGUGUGAGUGAAUACUUUAAUGCCACUGAAACAGACAACUUUAAUACCAAUGAUUGGUAUUGAUGCCACUGAAAUCAAACCCCCCAUUACCAUUAUAAAUGAACAACCUUCAAACCUCAAAACUUACCAGGAAUCUGAAAAACGUUCAUAACUUGCUUGCCCUUAUUGUUUCCUUUUUUCCCAUGAUGAACAUAUUACCGAUGAAAACCCCAACGUCAAAAAAGACAAAUCGAAGCUUUACGACAAAGAGAUUGUGAUCUGAUGAAAAAAGGUUAUCUUCUUGUUCAUUCUCUGCGAUGAACAAAGAAGGUGAAGAAGAAGAAGAACAGAGAAAAGUUUGGUUUACUUCUCUUUUAAGGUAAGACAGUUGUUUUUUGUCUUUUCUGGGUGGAGGAUAGAGUAGUGUGAUGUGGAGGAUUGAGAAUGCUGGUUUCUGUGUUAUUUUAUCCAACGGUGGUAAUCAAAGAUGCUUUUUCAUCUAACGGCGAGAGUUUAGUUUGCUGAAUUGAAUGAGGAGAGAGAAAAAUCAGACAAACAGAAGAUAUGAUGUGACGGCUUAAAGCUGUCAUAAGGGUAGAAAUGUCCAAUUGAAAAGUCAAACCGAGAAAUGUGCUUGUUGGGGAAGAUUGCAGUCAAAUGUGCUGAUUUGGGAAGAAAGGUGAUAAACCUAUGCUUAUUCGGGAAAUUACCCUAUUAUGUUAAACAACAUUAGGUGAAAUUUUUCUUAAAAUCAUUUCAUCAAACAGUUCCAAAGCAAUAAGAUUUUCUUAAAAGAACUUUUCAGAGACUGACAAUUUGUACCUAAAUAGCAAGCAGAAACACAAAAGUUUUGCAUUAAUAGUUUAAUACACAUACCAUAAGAUCGGCAAAAGGAUCAUCCCUUGCAAGUAUAGACCAGUAUCUGUCAAAGCACGUGUAAACAAAGCAAUGCCACUCACUUGCUCAUCGACCUUCAGAUAUCAGAAUCGCAAAUAUGAUUCAUAAAUGCCAAGAUCAGAAAACAGUAAUAGAAUGAACAAGUAGAAGUUCAUUAUUUAGACAAAUUCAAUUGAGAUAUCUGAGACAUGUAUAGAACCCUAGAAAUCUGCCAAGUAGUUCAGCCAUCUUAACUAUAAAUUGGUACAUGUCUAGAGUUAAUUGAUUCAUGCUGAAUCCAUAAGAGAGAACAAUUCUCAAUCUUAUAUUAUAUAUCUUGUUUAUCUCUAGCUAUAAUUUAGCUCAUUUAGUUUAUAGCAAUCAAGUACAAUCCGUACCUUAUCUAAAAAAAUGCAAAAAAUUAACCAAAAAAUCAAAGGAUUAUUGUUUUAUUCUAUUGAAUGCUACUAAAUUCCCAUAUAAUACAAGAACAUGAAGACUGCAUAUCGGAGAUUUGAGAUAUAAUAACUACCAUGACGUUUAGCUUAGAGUAGGGGUAUCCAGAAGAAACCACAUAAGACCAAAUAGUAAUAGACCUUAUGCAGACAUCUUCUAUGAAUUUUCGAUGACAGUUAUUUAUGUAUUAUAUACCAACUUUCAGUUGUCAUGUAUGAAUUCAUGACUCUUUAUGGCAUAUCCUUACGCAUUUAACUCAACUGAUAUCUCAUUAGUAAAUAAUUAAUUAACCAAGUAUAUUUAUACAUCAAUUGGUUCAUAUAUAGAAUCUAUACUUCCCUAUAGAUGCUCAUGUCAUGUCCUUUCUGCUUAAUCAUUACUAAAUAGAGUAGUUUAAGUGCUAGCAUAAAGGUCGAAUCAUAAUGUAAGGUGCAUGUUGGUGAAUUUUUGUUUUCCAGGGUUUCAACCAUCUAAUAUUAUUGGAUGCAGUGAUUAAUUUGUAGAUAGUACAAAGUAAAUAAUAGUAAUAGCUGUAUUUCUUAACUGAAAUUGUUAAUUUCUAGACAUGUCAAAAGCUGUAAUUUUUAAUGCUAACAAAUUCAAAUAACCAUAUGGUAGGUACCUACAAUCUAUACCUAAUAUUGCAUCAGAUAUAAUAGUGUGAUAAUUAUGAUGAUGAGCAUUUCUAUCAGAUAAAGAUUCAGUAAAGAUUACAUGAUGAUGUACAUCGCAAUCCGAAAAAUAGGAUUAGUUCACUCAAGAGUUAUGAUGAGCAUUGGUGUUUUAGGUUAUUGUUUCUUCAGGACAAUUGUGGUUUGUACAAAACCGUUUAAUAGGAGUUCAUUGGGAAAGAAGACUUCUCUGUUCCAGUUUAUACAACCACCUUUUCUACCAGGUUCCUCUCAUUUACCAUUAAUCAAAGGUAUAGUUGGCUAAAGCAUCCUUUAGAAGCGACAUGUUGUAGUGAUGCCUAAUUGCAAUGUGAACAAUGAAUUAGAAUGAACUAUUUAGAAAUAAGUUAAUGAUAAUAUGGUGGUGAGUGUUUGAGUAAGUUUAGUUUUAAAAAACUAAGGAUUAUAGGUAGAAGAGUAAGGGGGCUGACACAUAGCACAUAUAAGUAGUUUAAGAAUUGUGUAGUCUUGAGGUUGUGGAGACUGGAAAGGGAGUGAGAUUAGGCUUGGGAGGGUAAGUAGGUUCUAUGUUUUAGACUGCUCCGAUAAUCUAUGAUAGUUGUGUUGGGAAUAACGCUAAUAAUGCGGAAGCGAUUUGUUGACAACGUGAUCUACACCAAUAAAGGUGUAACCUUUAUCGAAGAUAAUACCUUGAAAAAACUAACUUGUAGACAAUAAAAUAAAGAACUAACUACUAGAAUAACAAUCAAGUAUAUGCAACUAGAAAGUAAAACACGAUAAAAGAAAUUCAAGUACUCACAACACAAGAUUUAACGUGGUUCUGCGUAAGCCUACGUCCACGGGGCAAGAUGAUAAAGUUUCACUAUGAAGAAGAAAAGGGUGAUACAAAUAGCACUCACUCACACUCCUCCACCUCACAAACAAGCUCUCAAAUCUCUCAAGAACAAGUUAUUCCUCACUUUUCUUCCUUCAAUCUCUUUUCAAGAAAGUCUCUCUCAAGAAGACCUAGAUCUCAACUUUAUGCCUCACUUCUCUCUUCAAGAAAAUCUCUCUCAAGAAGACCUAGAUCUCAAUUUUAUGCCUCACUUAACCUCUCUCAAGGAGACAAACAACUAUUGAGAAUUUAGGAUACUAAACCAAUCCCUAAGACCUUAUAUUUAUAGCCUUUAGGGUGUACAAAACAAAAUCCUAAUAGGAUUACCAAACCUAAUCAAAUUGAAAGUCGUAUUCCAAUACCAAAUUGUAAAUCCUUAAUAUGGACUUAGAAAUACAAAUAUGAAACAGAUUCCUUAGGGAACCGGUUUCCAACAAUUCUCCACCUCGGCGAAGAUUUCCCAAAUCUGAGUCGCCACCAAGCUAACCACACAUCUCCAUCAUACCACACCCGACUGCACCACUAAGUGAUUACGUAUCCUCCUAUAAAGGAAUCAAGCCAUCGUAGUUCUCCUCAUGGACAUCUUCAGGAUGCCCACACACGCCCCUAAGGGCCAUUGCCCACACGGGAAAUCCAUCAACAUGCACAAUGUGGAGUAGUAGGUCCGGUUGACGUUGGACCCUCACUCCAUGGACAACCCCCACUAGAACUAGCCAUUGCUUCGGCUCCCAUCACGGUACUCCCAUCCAAAUAAUACAAGUUUCCAUGUCGAUUCCCUUUCAUGACAACUAGAGAAUCAUGGAACACUUGCAACACUCCACUAUUUGCUAUAAACUUAUAGCCAUAUGAUUCAAGAAGACCAAGAGAAAUAAGAUUUGGUGAAAGCUCGGGUACAUGUCUUACCUCCAUCAAAGUUCUCACAAUCCCAUCAUGCAUCUUCAACUUGAUAGUUCCAAUUCCGAUUACCCUACAAGCAUUGUUGUUUCCCACAAACACCGUAUCACCAUCCAUGACUUUGUAAGAAGUAAACCACUCCUUUCUCGUACACAUAUGGUAAAUACACCCAGAAUCAAGAAUCCAUCCACUUAAAGUAUGGUUAUCAUGUGAAACCAUGAAGCACAAAUCAUCUUCGUCGUCACCCGAAACAUAACUUGUUUCAUCAAUCACCUUUUCUUUCUUCUUGCUAUUCUUCUUGUACUUCUUUGGAUGAGGACAUGUUCUAGCAUAAUGCCCAAUUUCACCACAAUUGUAGCAUAUCACAUCUUCUAGCCGUAUGCUAGACUUUGUAGAUUUCUCCCUUGUAGAUGUCCAUUCACUAGACUUUCCCCUUGCCACCAACCCUUGAGAUUGGUCUCCACCACUUUCAGUAUUGGUGGAUUGCUUGCGAACUUCAUUGGACAAUAGAGUCACACACACUUCAUCAUAGGUAACGAUAUCCUUCCCAUUUAACAUGGUUUGGACUAAGCCUUCAUAUGAAUCCGGCAAAGAGACCAUGAGAAUAUAACACAAUUGCUCAUCAUCUACCUUCAGAUCUACAUCCUUCAAAUUCGACCUUACUCGGUUGAAUUUAGCCACAUGGUCCCUUUUUGAAGCGUCGUAUUCCAUCUUUAAGGUGAAACUGGCACGAAGUGGUUUGACAUCAAUUUUGUGACAAAGUGUCUUUGGUUAUCUCGCCUUGAAUUCAUUGUUAGGAAAACCAAGAUGUACGCAUGGUCGUCUCGUGUCCUUGUGUCUCUUAGGUCAGUCUAGGGAAAGUUAUUGGGUUCUGGACGUACGUACCGAGUUAGGACGUACGUACGUUCACUGAAGCAGCGAACUUAUUUUGGUCAGGACGUACGUACUCAGUUAGGACGUUCGUACGUCCAGGUAGUCAGCAGACAUGUUUUCGUAUGGAGACGUACGUACCUGUUUAGAGCGUUCGUACGUCAUGUUAGGCAGCAGGCUUAUUUUUGUGUGGCGACGUUCGAACGUCAUAUCGACGUACGAACGUCCAAAGUCGGUUUGCUCAGUUUCGGCCCAUUUUCCUAGGUUUUCAACCCUAAGUAUAAAUAGGGUUUCUCUUCUACAGAACAAGACAGUUCUUUGGCCGUCCAUCCUUCUUCUUGUUCAUGUGUUUUGGUUAGGUUUUUGGUAUUAAACUUGUUUGUGGCUAUUGAACUCAAUUCCCUUUCUUCCCCCUUUUCCCAAUUCAUAUCUUUGUGAUCUUCAAGUGUUAUUGUGAAUUCGGCUUCGAGUCUUCUUGUGUGUUCAUCAAGAAGUCGAGUGUCUUGUGCGUACAUCAAGGUGCUCUGGUGAAGUCAAGGUGUUAGAGAUAACCAGGAGUAUCAACUCGCAGUGAGUGCAGGUAGUUGAUAGGUUUGUACAUCUCUUUUCAUCUAGUGGAUUAUUUUGUUGUCGCGAGGACAACCGUGGACGUUUCCCUGUUUGGGUUUUACCACGUUAAAAAUCUCUGUGUGUUAUUUACUUUCUGCGUAUUGUUUGUUUGCUUGUUUGAAUUCACAUUUGUUAUACUAGCACUAUUUGUAGUUUCUCAAUUGGUAUCAGUCGCUGGGGGCUGGUUAAGGAGCGUAAAGGCUCACGCUAACGGUCAAUAGUGCUAUGGAUUACUCUGGUAAGACAUAUGUCUCGGUGGUUGCUCGACUGUCUGAUGAGCAGUCCAUUGACAGUAAAGAAUGCUCUAGUAAUUGUGACAGGGAUUUGAUUCUGGUGGACAAUAAUGAUUGGGCUACCCUAUACCGGUUAUCCAGAAAGGAAUGCCUAAGGUUGGAGGCACAAAAUUGUAUUCUUCAGGAUAGACUUGACGUAUUGUCCUCUAGUUCCUCAUCUAUGUCAAUCCUGGAUAGGGAACCUGUAUCAUGGCAGGUUGAUAAGGUGGCUUUACUGGGUAAUCUUGCUGCUCUUGAGCAUGACAAGGUCGAAUGGGAAGCUCGGUAUAAGAUUGUGUCCUCAGAACUAGACAAGGUCAAAAAGGAGUUGAUUCGCUUUCAGUCAUUAGAUAAGUGCAAUGGGUUGUCAUCUCCUGAACUACCUCCACUGUUGCCCCAUCCUCCUACCAAAAAGUCCGACAUUCACUACUCUGUGGACACGGUUGGCAUACGGCGUAAGUGGAAACUGUUCAGGCGUGUUCCACCUCAGGGAAGGAAACGUCAAAUGCCGUGCUCACUAUGCGGACAGUUUGGACAUUGGGCCUCGCAGUGUGGUGUGGCUGCUCAUGUUCCACAAUCAUGGAAGCUGUUUUCACAACCGUCGUAUGAUUAUCCAUCUUAUCCAUAUGCUUCUUACUCUUUUCCUUGUAACUUUGCAGGAAAUGUGUCAAAUGUGGCGAUUACUGCCCUUCAUGUCUCAAGCUCGGAUAGUGAGUGGUUACUUGAUAGUGGAGCUUCAAAACAUAUGUCAGGUAAUGCCAAACUUUUCUCUUCCGUUACUGCUAUAGAUGGUGGAAAUGUUACUUUUGGGAAUGGUAAGAGUUCUCCUGUGAUUGGUAAGGGAUUUGUCGCUGGUAUUGGUUUAUCUCCGAAUGAUGUUUGUUUGUUAGUUGAUGGUUUGCGUGUAAAUUUGAUCAGUAUUAGCCAACUGUGUGAUACUGACCAUACUGUUAAUUUUUCCAAAAAUAUAUGUACCGUGCUUGAUAGUUCGGGUAAGUGUAUCAUGACAGGUAAACGAACAUUGGAUAAUUGCUAUGCCAUUCAGCCUGUUACAUCUAGCAUGAACUGCUUACCUAGCAAACUAAAUGAGAGUCUAUUGUGGCAUCAACGACUCGGUCAUGUCAACUUUGAACACCUGGACAAUCUAACUCGGAAUGAAUAUAUUAAGGGAGUUCCUAGACUUGGAAGAAAUCGAGACACUGUGUGUGGUGGGUGUCAACUAGGUAAACAGAUACGUAGUCCACAUUCCAAGAAAAAAUCCAUAACCACAUCUUCCCCUUUAGAACUCAUACACAUGGAUCUGAUGGGUCCUACUCGUACUCCUAGUCUAGGAGGCAAACGAUACAUCUUGGUUAUGGUUGAUGACUACACUCGCUUUACCUGGGUAUCAUUCUUGCGUGAAAAAUCUGAUGCGUUUCUUGAGUUUCAGGGGAUAUGUCUUCGUAUUCAGAACGAGAAAGAUACUCAAAUUAAACAUAUCAGAAGCGAUAGAGGCGGUGAGUUCACAGCCACAGGUGUGAUUGAGUAUUGUAUUGGAAAUGGUACAUGGCAAGAAUUUUCGGCUCCAUACACUCCGCAACAAAACGGAGUCGCUGAAAGGAAAAAUCGUGUUAUUCAGGAGAUGGCUCGAGCUAUGUUGCAUGCAAAGGAUGUUCCGACCAAGUUUUGGGCGGAAGCGGUUCAUACUGCUUGUUACAUAAUGAAUCGUGUAUAUCUAAGAUCUGGUACUACACAAACUGCUUAUGAGCUAUGGUAUGGUAAGAAGCCGAAUCUCAAAUAUAUGCGAGUUUUUGGUAGUGUGUGCUAUGUGUGCAAGGACAGACAAAGUCUGUCCAAGUUUGAUAGUCGAGGUGAAGUAGCUCUUUUACUUGGUUAUUCUUCUAACAGUAGAGCCUUUCGAGUGUUUAACUACACCACUCGCAAGGUCAUGGAAUCCUUUAAUGUUGUUGUUGAUGACACUAUUUCAUCUGACUCUUCUGUUUCCACUGGUACACAGGAUGUCACAGUUCUCUCACCCGUGUCAGACCCGGCUGACAUGUCUUCCAUAUUGUUAUCAUCACCUGAUAAUGGCAAUGGUGGUACUAAACCUUCUAAUGCUGCAGAGGACGUGCCUAGUAGGACCGGUGCUGUGCUCACACCGGAUGAUGUAGUUCAAACACCAGAUGUGAUUGAUGUGUCUCCAGAUCUCUCCACUGUCCCUGCUGAUCCUGAAAGGGUGUUUAAUCUAGCUUCACCUCGUGUCAAACAAUAUCACUCAUUAGGAGAUAUCAUUGGGGAUAUUAAUGAUCAACGUCUGACUCGUCGGAGGGCCAAGGAGACAAAUUGUGUUCAUUAUGUUUGUUAUCUCUCUUCUCUUGAACCUAAAAAUGUUACUGAUGCUCUUAUUGAUGAUGAUUGGCUAGUUGCUAUGCAGGAAGAACUCGGUCAGUUUAAGCGUAGUGAUGUCUGGACGUUGGUUCCUAGACCUACUCACACGAAUGUGGUUGGCACCAAGUGGAUCUUUAAAAACAAGUUGGAUGAGUUCGGACAGAUUGUACGCAACAAGGCAAGGCUCGUAGCUCAGGGCUACAGUCAGAUUGAAGGUAUUGACUAUGGAGAGACAUUUGCUCCCGUGGCUAGGUUGGAAUCUGUCAGGCUUCUUCUUGCUAUGGCAUGCCACUUGAAUUUCAAGUUGUAUCAAAUGGAUGUCAAAAGUGCAUUUCUCAAUGGUAUUCUUAAUGAGGAGGUCUAUGUUGAACAACCUAAAGGGUUUGUGGAUCACACUUUUCCGAAUCAUGUCUUCAAAUUGCAAAAAGCACUGUAUGGGUUAAAGCAGGCUCCUCGGGCUUGGUAUGAACGUCUGACCUCCUUCUUACUGGGAAAAGGAUUUGUUCGUGGCAGUGUUGAUCGGACUCUGUUUAUACUGCGAAAGAAUACUGAUGUUCUUCUCGCCCAAGUCUAUGUGGAUGAUAUAGUGUUUGGGUCGACGUGCCCAAGUCUUUCUGAAUCUUUCUCUCAAUUAAUGAGCUCUGAAUUUGAAAUGAGUUUAAUGGGAGAACUGAAUUUCUUUCUUGGCUUACAGGUCAAACAGUUUGAUCAUGGAGCUUUCAUUUCUCAAACAAAGUAUGCUAAAGAACUGGUUAAAAAAUUCGGUCUCAGCACUUCCAGUGGUCAAGAUACUCCCAUGGGUGAGAGGGUACGUCUUGGUAAGGAUAUUAUGGGUAAGUCUGUUGAUAUUCGUGAAUAUCGGAGUAUGAUUGGUAGUCUUUUGUAUCUCACUGCUAGUCGUCCAGAUAUUUCUUAUAGUGUUGGGGUAUGUGCAAGAUUUCAGGCUAACCCUAAAGAAUCUCAUCUCAUUGUGGUUAAGCGUAUCAUUCGGUAUGUUGCUAGCACUCUUGACUACGGUUUAUGGUUCACCAGAGAUACGAAUAGUGUUGUGGCAGGUUAUUGUGAUGCUGAUUGGGGUGGUAAUCUUGAUGAUCGUCAUAGUACCAGUGGUGGCUGUUUCUAUGUUGGGAAUAAUCUUGUUUCCUGGCAUAGCAAGAAACAAUCAUCUGUAUCCAUCUCUUCAUGUGAGGCUGAGUAUAUAGCUGCAGCUAGUGCAUGUACUCAACUUCUGUGGAUGCGCCAAAUGCUUCGGGAUUAUGGCAUUCAACAGCAGGCGAUGGACCUGUUCUGUGAUAACACCAGUACCAUUAGCAUUUCCAAGAAUCCUGUUCAACACUCACGCACAAAGCAUAUUGACAUUCGUCACCAUUUCCUUCGUGAGGCGGUCGAAAAGGGUGAUAUAGUAAUGGAGUUCAUUCCUACUGAACAUCAGCUUGCAGAUAUUCUUACAAAACCUCUUGAUGCAAGCCGAUUCCAUUCCUUGCGUAAGUCUAUUGGGGUUGUAACUCUUCCCUAAUUGUCUUGUUACUUUCUGUUUCUUUCUGGUAUUGUCAUUGUGUUUAGGAUGUUUAGGGUUGGUCAUUUAUUGUUGUUUUUGGUAUUGAGGACAUACUACAUUCUCUAUUGUGUGGAUUUCAUGUUACAAAUGUUUCUAGUUUGGCGUUCUCAACUGUCUUUGUGUCAUGCAUAGGUGUAGGGUUACAUUAUACUCUCUUCGUAUUGGUAGUUUCUUGCAUGAUGCAUUUUAAUGUAGUUGGCUUGACAUUUUCAAUACAUGUUUAACUCCAGUCUUCCAUGGUUGAUUUUUCAUGAUCGUUGUUUGUUGUUUUAUUUAUUCUUUCACCUCUUGUAAGUGGUCAAUGACUCACAAAAUCCCCAGCCAUUUGAAUGUCUUGAGAGCAUACUCAUUUGGCUAAGAACCCGUUGGGGCUGUGAGGGUCAUGCUCUGACGGAUGCACUCAAGUGAUGUUAGUUCUUGUGUUGCACGUUAUCAUGGUAUUGCACUUCUUGAGUGUGUUUUGCCGAAAAGAUGUAGGCUACACCCUACCCUCGUGUUCUGGUAAAAGAUGGAGAUAUUUCAUACUCCCACACGGGAAUGGCAUCUGUUUCACUGGUUUACAAAAAAAAAAAAAAAAAAAAAAAAAAAAAAAAAAAUGAAUGACUAGUGGCUCUCGCAUUUGUCUAGUUGAAGAAAAACAAUAGUGUGUGUUUUUGGUUAGUUGCGAGUGACCUUCAAUAUUCUCUAUGAUCAUGUCUUUAGUUUGUUCUUCCGAGGUUGGUAUUGGUCUAUCAGGUUCUUCUACAUCCUUGCAUCAUUCUAGUCACUACCAUGUCAUGGUGUAU